rnacentral:lncRNA from 1 species
GGUGAAGAAGCGCCGAGGCUGGGAGUAGGGGCCUCAUUUGAUGGAGACGGUGGGCUGGAGGCCGAAGGUGAUAGUGCUGGAGACUUAGCUUUGGUCUUGCUAGGGGCCGGAGCUGGAACCGUGGCAGGAGGAGAAGCCAAAGGAGCUGGUGGUGGGGUAGCUGGAGGAGGAGUAGCAGGAGGGGGAGAAGCAGGUGGUGGGGUAGCCGGAGGUGGAGAAGCCGGUGGGGGAGUUGCGGGAGGUGGAGUAGCCGGGGGAGGAGAAGCUGGUGGUGGGGAGCUAACGGGCGGGGGAGUCGCUGGAGGAGGAGUGGAAACUGGUGGUGGUGAUGAAGUAGGAGGAGGAGAGGAAGCUGGUGGCGGAGAAGUAGUUGUGGGUGUUGGAGGUGGUUGAGUAGUAGGUGGAGGUGUGGAAGCGGGUGGAGUCGGCGGCGCCGGCGUGGAUGUCGGAGGAUUACUAGGAGUAGGAGGAGCUUGGCCUAAAACGCCAGCUACAGCAAUGCAAAACAAAGCUGAUAAGAACAAAAACUUAUUAUUAAGCAUCAUAUUGGAAACAAUGGUGACCCUUUAAUCCUGCACACCCUCUCCGCUUAAACUACGCCCAGCCGUGCAAGCAAAUGAGGGAGAAGAAGAGGCAAGUAUGAGAAAUGAAAAGAUGGUGAUAUUUAUAUAUAGGAUAUGGAAAUUUCCAUAUCAUAUUUCAAUUUAAAAUCCCCAAAACAAAUACCAGCAUUUUUAUUUUAUUACUAAUGGGAAAAUUGCAUUACUAAUCAUAUACAAUAUUCUAUAUUAAUUUAGUGUAAUUUAAUUCUUUCAUUUUUUUAUAAUGUUAUUAAUAGGUCCAAAAUCAAUAUCUCCGAUCGUUAGUUGCUGUCAUUAAAGUGAUGAUACGAAAUUAUUUUUUUUACUAUUAUUCCAUCAUACAAUCAGAGAUAUAGAAAUCAAUCAAUUUUGUUAAACAAAUAAUAAAUUUCAAUCUGAGUCAAAUGCUUAAAGUUGUUAAAAAAAAUUCACGUCAUCACUUUAACAACAUCAACUAAUAGCGUUAUCAAUUUGUACUUUGUAGCUACCAAUAACAUUAUAAAAAUAAAGGGUCAAAUUAUAUAGAAGUAAAGGAUUAAAUCUCUAAUUUCAAUUUAGUAAAGGGACUAAAAUGGAAUUAAACCUAUUAGUGGGGGUCGGAGUUUUUUCCUCGUUUGGUGAGGUAAAAAAAAAAAAAAACCCUAGUGGGGCAUAGUUAUAAUGUCACUUUGAUGAUUAUAAAUGAUGCGUUAGUUAGUCAUACUUUAGGUAAAAAACUGUGAGGUGGGAUUAGUGUAGAUUGAAAAUUUUUAGUGAAGGGGUUAAUUUAUACCUUCAAAAUUUUGCAAUAUUUGGUAGUUCCAUGAAAUAUUCCCCGCUAUUUAUCAACUUUUCAAUCACUCAAAUAGGUUUUAAUUUAGUUUUGUUGUGAAAUUUCUAAUUCAAGCAUACAAUGAGUAGAUUUUAUUAUGGGUCGGGUCGGGUUAUUAUAAAAUUUUAGGUGUAACGUCCCGAAUUUUUGGGCCUAGAAGUUAAAAGAUUUAAGCAUAGGGGCAGUAAGGAGGCCACACAUAAGUGAUUAGUUGUGCACUAUAGUGAUAAGAAUGGGCUUAUUAGUCUAGUGGUUAAAUGGAGUGUUAAUUAAGUUCAAGGUUUUUGGUUUGAGUCACUAUGUGUACAUUUUGGGAGUCUUUUUAUUUUGUUUUUUUUUAGUUAGUGAUAAUAAUUAAUUAUUUUAUUUUAUUUUUAUUAUUUUUCUUUUCUUUUCCACGUUAGUUCUCUCUACUUCUUGGUUUUUUUUUCUUUUUGUUCUUUUUCCUUGGACUUUCAAUUUGUGCAUUCUCUAUGUUUUUGAAUCGUUUGCUUACAGAUUUCGAAUUGUCGCACCUCUAUCGUCUUCUUCGUCGUUCAAUCAGGUGAGGGAUUCAAACUUUAACUACAUUGUUUAAUUUUGCAAAGUUUACGUGCGGCUUUUCUUGAAUAUGUGAUAACCCGAAGGUUUUUGGGUUUUGAUCGUUGGAAGUGAGGAAAAUACGUUAUAUUGUGAUAUGUUCUUGAUGUGGUUAAGGUUAGGGACAGUUUGGGUGGCUAAAACGGUGUUUUCGGGGCUAAUUUGGGGUGGUUUCAUGACCUCUCCGGCAGCUACACGGGCGUGUGCCGUGGUAGACAGUCAUAUGGAUUUGGGAACUAGGGUUUCCAGGCCAAAUUGGAUGCCACACGGCCGUGUGGCCGAUUUGGGGAUUUUGUCGAAAUUCACACGGCUGUGUCCCCUAGGCACAUGGGCAUGUGGGUUUGGAAUUAGGGUUUCAGAGAUUUGAAGUCACACAGCCUGGCCAUACGGCUGUGUGGCUGAUUUUGGGAUUUAGGGAUCCCACACGAGUGUGUGUUUCGUAACACACAACCAUGUCUAGUUGGCACACGGGCAUGUGAGACCCUCACAUAGCCGUGUCUGCCCUGCACCUUAUUUUAGCGAAAUUGGACAGUGAGUUACACAGCCUGUUCACACAGUCGUGUCUCUGCUUCGCACGGGCGUGUGCCUAUGUCACAUGGCCGUGUGCUAUCCUUCACAAGGGCGUUUGAAGCCUCACACGAUCUGGAUUGCUCUACACGGCUGAAGCAUACGGGUGUGUAGCCCUAUCUCGCCAAAUAAUGAUUUUAGGUCAAAUUUAAGUGCAAUCGUGACUCUAUGUAUUCCAACCCUCGACUGAGCUCUAGUGAGGGUAUUUACGACGCUGAUCUGAGUUUGGAUAAUGUGUUAAUUGUGAUUGGUUAUGUGACAUGUUUGAUUCUGAACCCGGGUUAGCUGGGUGAGUGUGUAUGCAACUAGUUCUGUCUGACUGUUUGAAUACGUGUCAUUGAUAUGCGAGCUUAUUUUGCAAUUGCUACUGAAUUCAAGUUACGAGUAUACUUAAGACUAAUUUUGUAACUAACUGAUUGGAUGUGAGCGUCUACUUCUGAAUAAUUGUUUGAGACUAGUAUUCUGAUUGUGUACAUCUGACUGCAUACAUACAUACAUAUGCAUAAACUAUUUUGGGCGGGAUUUUUGAAGAGAAGGUGUUGUAGGCCAAUUUUGGGCCCGUUUACACUUUAGGCCGAACAUACAUCAAACCCAUUUACAAUUAAACCCCAGCAUAACCCACAACCCAAACCCAACAAAUAAACCCAAAACCAAACCCAAAUUUAACCCAAUUCAAAUCCCAUAGACCCAAACCCACAUGUAAGCCCAAGUUGUUAGACCCAACUAGCUUGAUUUAGGGUUUCAAAAAAACUGAAACCCUAACCUACCCCCAGCGCCGCCAACGUCACAUCGCCCAUGCCAGUCCACUUGCACUACCUUUGCUCCACUGUUCAACCACCACCUGCAAAACAAAAGAGCACGCAACAGCAGCGCAAAAAUAGGAAAUAGACAGUGUAUGAACAACAAAAUCGGCUAUAAAGCCGAAUGGAAACCAAUGUAAUAGAAAAUAUUUUCGGUUAUUUUCUUCAUCAAUACAAAAAAAUAGAUUUAAACAUAUACAAGCAAUAAUUCGGGGAAAAUCAAAACACUAGAAUAACACCAAUUGGGCAACCAAAACAUCAAUAUCAAAAGCCUAAGGUGAUUUAAAUCUUUUUAUUUUUAUUUAUUUUUGAAUCAUACAUACCUAUGUAUUUUCAUAAAUAGUAUAAUAAAAAGGAAAAUAAAAGAAUAAAAAAAAGAUAGGAAAUUUUUACCUUUUCCGGCCACCGUGCGACGGUGGCACACGGCGGUCCGGCAACCAGACGUGGACGGCGACCGGCCUUGUGGCCGGAAUUCGCCUCUCCUUCUCCCCUCUCUCUUUUUUUUCUUUGCUAUGCAGAAAAUGAAUUUUUUUUGAAGAUUUUGGCCUUUUUAUAGCUUCCUAAAACGACGUCGUUUUGGGGGUUGCCCUUUAACCUCAAAACGACGUCGUUUUGCCCUGGAUCAGGUCGACCCGACCCUACCCACUCAGGAUCUGAGUGUUUUUGCUCUUAGGGGCUAAUUGCGCACGCGGUCCUUCCGCUUUUUCUAUGUUUUUCAAUCAGGUUUUUUAUGUAUUUUAAUUUGGCCCUAUAAUUAGUUGCGCUUUCCAAUUUGGUCCUCAAUGCUAUUGCGCAUUUUGGGUGGAGAGGCUUAUUUCGUUUUAAGUCCCUCCACUAUUUGUGCGCGUUGAAAUAGGUCCCCUUCCCUUCUUUUUAUUUCAGUUUUUGCCCCAAGCCUUUUAUUUUUAAUUCGAUUCGAUCCUUUUUUUAAUUACUUUAUUAUUAAAAUUAAUUAUUUUAGUAUUAUUGUUAUUAGCACUAUUCAUGUACAUAUAUAUUAUCAUUAUUGUUACUAUUACUAUUAUUAAUCUUCAUAUUAUUACUAUUAUUUCUUUAUUUUUAUAUUAUAUUAUAUUAUAUUAUUAGUUUUUACUAUUAUUAGUAUUAGUUUUAGCUUCAAUUAAUAUUUUUAACAUGCAUAUUUAUAUACUUUUAUGUAACAUUAUUAAUAAUUAUUUUUUAAAAUAUUAUUAUUAUUUUUUAAUACAUGCAUAUAUAUUAUGUGUAUAUUCUUUUAAUAGACAUUAUGUAUAUAUAAUUUUAUAUAUUAUUUUUAACUUUACAUUAUGUAUAUAUUGUUAAUAUCAUAUUAUUCAUAUAUUCUAUUAUAUUAUAUAACUAUAUUAUGUAUGUAUUUUUAACACUAUAUUACGUACAUACUUUCAAUAUCAUUAUUAUUAUGUAUAUAUAUUUUUAAUAUAUAUAUGUGUAUAUUUAUGUAGUAUUAUUAAUAGUUGUUUUUAAUAUUAUGAUUAUUUCUAGUAUAUAUAUAUUAUGUAUAUACUUCUAAUACUAUAUAUUGUAUAUUUCUAAUACCAUUAUUAUUUAUAUGUGUAUAUGUGUAUGUAUUUAUGUAUCGUAUUAUAGUUGUUGUUUUUUUUGUAUCAUUAUUGUUGCUAAUAUAUAUAUAUCAUGUAUAUAUGAUUUUUUUUAUAUAUAUUAUGUAUAUAUCUUUAAUAUUAUAUUAUUUAUAUAUUUAUGCUUACAUAUUAUCUUACGUAUAUAUUUUUAAUAACUAUAUUAUGUAUAUACUAUUACUAUAUAUCUAUUUAUGUUGCAUUAUCAAUGGUUGUUUUUACUAUUAUUAUUAUUCUUAAUAUAUAUAUUAUGUAUACAUUUUUAAAUACUAUAUUAUAUACAUAUAUUUUUAAUACCAUAUAUGUACAUAUCAUUAUUAUAUCUAUUUUUACCCCUAUUACAUUUGUUAUUAAUAUUAGUAUAUAUUUUAUUAUACGUGUAUAUAUAUACUUUUUAAUAUAGUAUUAUUUUUAUAUAUCAUUAUAUUUAUUAUUAUACUUAUUAUUUUCGCUAUUGUUACUUAUUAUUUUAUUUUAAUAUUAUUGUGUAUUAUUUGGUAUACAUAUAUCUUUUUGUACAUAUUGUUAUUUUUUAUUAUACGUAUAUUAGUUUAUUAUGGUAUUAAUACAUUUUUACCUUUUUCUUUUAUUGUAAAUAUUAUUUAUUAUUACUCUAAUAUCCUAAUAUUAUAUUAUAAUACUUUUUAUUAAUCAUCUCAUUAUUUUGCAUCGUUUAUUUACUUAUGAAUUUUUGUUAACAUCAUCAGUUUUUUUUUAUCAUUAUUUUAGAAACAUUUUUAUUUUAAUAAAUAAUGCAACGUACCGAUUUUAACAUUAAGUUUGUGAUUUCAUCGCUAUGUUGGGUGAAUCACGUUGGCUCGUGUUAAAAACGGGACAUCCUUCAAAAAAACCAAAAACUUGAAAUUUCUCGUGUCUUGGUCGGAUCAUGAUUAAAUAUUAAAUUAAACUUGUAUUUUUGAAAAUUAAGACAACGCGUAAUUAACAAGAUACUAAUUUUGGGCGUCGUGAGGGUGCUAAUACCUUCCUCGCGUGUAACCGACUCCCGAACUCUAUUUUCCUCUGGAUUUUCACGUAGACCCAAAUUCGGCCUUCAUUUUUGUUCAAGAAUAAAUUUUCUUUUCUAAAAAGAAGAUUUAUUAGGUGUCUGAUCACACCUAGAAAAAAGAUCGGUGGCGACUCCUUUUCUUUUUAAAACCGAAAUUCCAUUUUCAAAUAAUCGCCUCAACUAGCGACCGGAAAGUGAAAUUUUUACGUUGCUACAGAAGGAAGAUUGACUGAACUGAACUGAUAGCUAAUAUGUUGCCCCUAAUACCCAGAGGGUCAUGGGCGGUCCCAAUACCCUGAGGAUCGUGGUUAAUUUGACUGUACUGCGGACUAUCGCACUGUACUGUACAGAACAUACAUCAGCACCGCUGCUAUCAUUGACUAAACUGGCAAUUUUACUGCAACCUAACGAUAUAGCGGUCUACCGCAUUGCAUUGUACCGCAUGUACGUUAGCUACGCUACGUACUAUUAUCUGAUCUGGCAGUUCAUACUGCAUGUCUGUACCGCGGUUCACCGCAUUGCACAGUACAACCUAUACGCUGGCUUUCCUACGUAAUUUACGUGACUAGCAGUUUAUCUGCAUACUGUUAGCCCAAAUUCCCAGAGGGUCGAUGGCAAUCCCAAUACCCUGAGGGUCAUGGACAAUGCUGAUGAUCAUCGUUGUCGGGUAACCCGGGAUGACAUCAUAUGGGGUGUAGGGUUGGAUGGGCUUUGCGAGGUCCUGUAUGGAGUGUUUGGUGGGACAAGCUUAAAGCUUUUAUGAGAAGUGAUGGGGGACGGAGAGGUGUGUUGGCUGGAUAGGUGGAUAUUUUUAGAACUCAUUUGUACUCAUAUGUAUCUGAUUGAUCUGUUUAACUGAAUUGGAACUUGUGAAUGGUUGAGAAUUAUUGCUACUGUGACUGAAUGUGAUACUGUUCGAUUGAGAGGCACUUGUGCCUAUGUGAAUUUUGUAGAUUCUGAUUGCGACUGUCUGACUGGAUUCUUACUGUGACUGAUUAAGAUUUGUUGCUACUCUGUCUGAGUGGUACUUGUGGCUGAGUGUAUCUAACUGAUUGAGUUAAAACUAGUGGCAGAAUAGCACUAUGUUUGUGUAGCUGAGUGUAAUUUUUAAUAUGCAUUAACAAAUAUCUGUCUGUCGGUACGUCCGUUUCGAACGUACCCUUUGGUUCUGAAUAGCUCUGUAAGUAUGUUUUAUUUCUGAACUGCUUUUAGUUCCCUGUUUCUGUCUCUGUAGUUUAACUGGUUUGAUCUCAAACUGAGCUCGAGUAGCUCACCCCCUCUUUCGUUUCCCUUUUCAGGUACAAUUCUGGAUUAUGUUGAUGGACUUGGCACGCGAAGGUCUCAGACAGUCUCGCAAACAAAUAAAUUAUCAGUUUUGUUUUCCGUUACGAUUUUGUUAUUUGGUUAACUUUGAACUGUAAGGCUUUAUAAUACUGUGGUACAGUUUCCAUUUUAGAUUUUCAUGCAUACGUUUAUUUUGGGUUUUAUAUUGAGUCUUACUGUAAAUUUUAUUGACUGAUUAUUAAAUGGUUUUAAACACUUUUGGUUCACUGAGAUGAGUUAUUUUGUAAAAUUUUCCUACGAUCACUUCGGUGAUCAAUGUAGCAUUCCGAAUUCGGUCUAGACUUUUAGGCCGAGUUUGAGGUGUUACAUUAGGUUUAUUUUUUAGGUUCUAAUUUGACUCGAAAAAUAGGUCUAAAAUUUUAACUAAACCCAGUUUAGAUAAAAAUAUUAAACCCAAGUCCAAACGUAUUAAACUUUUUAUAUUAUUAUUUAUAAAAAAACAAAUUUAAAAAAUAUAAUACAUCAAAUACACUAAAAAUAUUAAAAUAGAUGUUUCCUAAUAAAUUGAAAAUACAUUAAAAAAGUUUUUAUACUUAACAAGCAAAUGCCUUUAAAAUAGUAGCAAAAUUAACAAGCCCAUGAUUAGGUCUAAUGAUGAGUUCUUUUGUUAGUAAUGUUUAUUUUGGUAUUUGAGUUUUUUCUGUCUUAAUUUGGUACUUAAUUUUGACUUUAAUUUUUUUCCAAUUAAGCACUUAAGUUUGGCUUCAAUGUUCAAUUUGGUACCUAAUUUUUUUUGUCCAAAUUAAUUACCUAUAUAUUUUUUACCAAAGCAUGUGUGUCAAACAUUUAUUGGAUCAUAUGAUGACAUUUGGCUUAGGUAUCAAAUUGAAUAUCAAAUUCAAACCUAAGUACUAAAUUGAAACAAAAAACACAAAUACUAACUUAAGUAUUAAAGCUAAACUCAAGUAUCAAAUUGUAUAUUAAUCAUUGGUAAACAAAAUUUCAAGGAUUAGCAUCUACUAAGCUUUCAUUUUCCCUUUUGCAUGUUACAAUUGAUAUUUGUUUAACGCAUAAACUUGGUAUCUUUUUUCCCGUAAUGAUCCAUUUUCAACAAUUUUUGUACACCUAUAUUAAAAUCUGAAAUAAUUUGGUUAUCUUCAACAUACAUAAAGCUGUUAUAUUAAAGUUUAUUUAUAGUUGAGAUUUUUAAAGGAUUUUUAUAAGAUAUUUUUUACACAUUCUUUCCAUGACAUUAAGGAGUAGGGAAGAAAACGUGGUAGUGUUAAAAGGAUCAGUUCAUCUAAACAAGCGGAAAGUCAAAAUAAGAAACAAAUUAAGGAGGAGUAGGGGACUCACACAUCCAUAACAUAUGCAUAUGUUAAUAUUAAAAAUUUACACAACGCAAUUGUAAAUGGUGAGACUUGGACUUCGAUACUUAAAGACCCAAGAUAUCGCCUUAACCAAUAAUGUCAACAAGAUCUCAUUAACUUUUUAGGAAUUUUCUUAACUUCACAUAUAGGGAUUAAAAAAUUACGAUAUAACUCAAUAUAAUAUUAAAGAGUAAAAGUUAAUCAAAAUUUACAUAUAUCACUCAUUUAAUCAUAUGUGUACAGAUAAAAGGAAGCCACUCAUCCUCUUGCCAACCCUACGUGUAACAUAAUUCACUAUAAAUUCCACCUACAUAUACAUACAUACAUAAAUAUAAAAGAGAAUUUCAUGGUCUUGGACUAGAUUGGCUACAAAAUUUGACAAACGGCAUGUGUAGGAGGAUUAAAUUCGAUGAAUUGCAUGAGAGUUUCUCCUUUUUGAUAAUUUAGUACAUGAGAGAAUAAUGAUGAUUGUGGGGGGGGGGGGGUGCUCCAUCGAAAUAGCUGGAAUUUAUUUAUUUUAGUGAACUGGCAAAUGUAAUUUGUACGCCAAGUUAUAAGGUGAAAAAGGGAGAAAUCAUAUAGAUUUGGUUGGUAAUGGUAUGUUGAUGUUGGAACACCUGCGGUGCACCGCCACAAUUAGUAGGCCCCUAGCCCCGCUGUCACCCCAUCAUAUGUGCUUUUGGAUGGAUCCAACAUUUUCGUGUUCUUUCAUUCUUCAACAUCAUCAUUAUUAAUUAGUUACUCUUCAAUUUCUAUAUGUAAUUUGCUUUCUUUUCAUUCAUAGGUUUUCUGUUUUCUGUCUUUGAUUUUGUCUUGUGCACAACUGAUGUCCUCCAUUUUUUUCCCCUUUUGUAGAAUUGGGUUUGUCACUUUAAUAGUGCCCGAAAUUAUUUUAUGGAUUUUUUUCAUCAUAUCAUUUAUAAUCUAUUUUUAGUUAUUUAAUGAUAUUUUAGUAAUUUUUUUAUGUUAUUGACACAUAAUUUUACUAAUUUUUUUACCCAGAACCCUCAAUCUUGAGUUUAGAAUCUUGAACCCCGAACCUUGAACCCUAAACUCAAACAUUAAACUCCAAACCUAAACCUUAAAUCUUGAAACCCUCAAGGUUUAGGUUUGAGGUUUAAGUUCAAAUUCAAGUUUGUAGUUCAGGGUUCGAGGUUUGAAAUUUAAGGUUCGGGUUCAGGGUCAGAGUUCAACAUUCAGGAUUCUAGGUUUGGGGUUUAAGAUAAAAAAAAAUUACCAAAAUUAUAUGUCAAUGACAUGAAAAAAAAAUUACUGAAAUGUCAUUAAAUAAUUAGAAAGGGACCAUGGAUGAUGUGGUGGGAAUGGUCCAAAAAUAAUUUCUCAUUUGUAUGGGAUAUUAUUCAUUAUCUAUUAUAAUUUGAUAUCUCUAUUUUUAUAAUAUUAUUAGGGGAAAGGAUUGUAUGAAACAGUGACGCCAUGUCAUCUGUAUCCCUUUCCAAUAAUUUUAUGCCAUAUCAUUACUUUUAUCCUCAAUUUCAGGAUUUUAUCCUGAAAAAAAUCAAAUCCAAAUUAAAAUCCUGAAAUUCAGGAUAAGAAUAUUGAUGUGGCAUAAAACUAUUGGAAAGGGAUACAGAUGACGUGGCGUCACUGUUUCAUACAAUCCUUUCUCUGUCCAAAUUUAUAACAAUGUUGAUUGCUUCACUAAAAUGAGAAGGUCCAAAAGAGUUAGAAGAUGUUAUUGAGAUUAAUAAAGGAGUAAUUUAUUUCGAGAUAGAUUAAUAUAAUUUAUUUGUGUUUUUUAUUUAAAAAAAAAAGUAAAAGGACGUAGUAAAGGAAUUUUCAUGCAUCAAUAAUUUAUUAUUUAAACUAUGAAAUUUCAAAAAAGAAGAAAUUCAUGUUGAAAUUGAUACUAUCAAGCAAUUUAAAAGUGUAAAAAUUUCAGUAUCAGCUGGAUAUUUAAUGUCAAAUAAACUAAAGAAAUGAGAAACACAAGCCAAUUGUCCACAAUGAUUAACUUGUUCCUAAAAAGAAAGUUGUACAUAGACUUUGCUUAUAAAUCAAUCCAAUUUUUUUUUAUAUAAAAGGAAACAUAUUACAUACUUAUAUUGAGUUAUUUGUACCACAACCCACUUAAAUUAUGAUUUUAAUUUUCGAUUGAGUCUUAGUUCAAUUGAUAUUGGCAUUAUUAUCUGUGGAGGAGUGGAUUCAAGUGCGCUGAAACGCAUUAUCCUUCUAUUUAAAUGUUGGGAAGGAACUAUAGAUUCGAAAGCAGAUAUGAUAAGAACCUAUAAUAAAAUUAAUGUAAUGCCUCCUUUUUCCUUUAAAUCCUACUUAAAACACACUUACUUAUUAUUUGCUAAAAUAUUGACAAAUCUAUAAUUUGAAUUCGAACAUUUAUAAUUCAAUCUUGGUCCCUUUAAUACAAAAAAUGUUGGCUUCACCCUUGAUCAAUUUAGUCAUCAAGUUUUUUUUUUUUAACAUAAAUUUCAAUAUAGAUUCUUAUCAUAUUAGCUCUUUUUGAUACAAUGCUUAUAACUAUCCAUAGCCCUUCCCCAAUCAUUAAAUAGUAGGAUAAUACACUUUAACGUAUUCGAAUCCACAUCCUCUUCUACUGACAACAAUGUCAAUCAAUACAAUUUUAAAUACGAGUGUACUACUUAGAUAAUCAUAUCCAAGGUACACAUACUUUUAAAAUUUGAUCCACACACUUUAAAUAUACCCCACCUCUGAUCUAAUCUAGCAUUUAUCACCUAAGCUGACGGUUAGAGGAACAAAAGAACUUGAUUGAUAUAAUAUCAAUAUUUUAUAGACUCAAUCGUACCAUAAUUAUGGACGUUUUCGCUGAGUUAACUCUAUAUCUAAAUAAGUCAUGGUAAACAUUCAAUAUUAAAAAAGAUAAAGGGAAAGUAUAAUAACCCAAAACACCAAAUUUUGGUUGGUUUAAUUUGCAGCUUUAACCAAUGCUUUUGCAUGAUCCAUCAAUUAGUGAGGAUUUUGAUCUUAAUUGGAGGGUCCCAUUCGGUUAUUAAGCUCUUUUUCCACCCUCAUGAUUGCCAUAACAUGGGCCCUUACCGUUUUACUUUGGAUACCCUUUUAUCUUUGCUUUGCUUUGCUUUGAUUUAAGGUUUUAUACAUAAAUGGUCACUUAAACUAUACCUCAAUUUUUAGAUUUGUCCUUAAAGUUUUUUUUUUAUCAAGAGUGGCCCCCACACUAUCAAAUUUAUCUCAUUUUACCCAAAAAGCGUACAAUAUCCAAUAAAAAUAUUUAAAAUGUGACGCGUGUCACAUUCUUAUUGGUUAAUAUCAUUUUUUGAAUAAACAAAAAUAAAAUUAACAGUUUAGCGAUCACUUUGACCAAAUAAAAAAGUUUUAAGGACUACUUUAGGAAUUUAGAUAUAACUUAAGAGUUAUUUUAUUAAUAAAGCUUUGAUUUAUUCAUCAAUUAACACUGAAAGAGUUUUCCUUAAUUUACUCAAAUGGUCUUUUUGUUUGUAUCACCUAACAUUUUGAAGAACAUCCUUUCUCUGUGUACCUCAUACAAUUCGUUAAUACGAAAAUUUUAUGAUUUUUUUAAAAAUAAAUUUAAUUGUCACGUUGCAGGUUACAAAUACUUUUAAAUAAGGGCUUUUUUCAUACAAGAAUACCAAUUAAAAAAUAUCUUCAAAGGUAUAUCAGUUAUACUCAGAUCAAAAUGUUUAAACUUAAUUUAUCUAAUUUCUUCGGCAGGGACCUAACCCAAAAUUGGUAAAAUUAAAAUUAGAUCUUUAUAAUUUUGAAGCAUUAAAAUUGAAUUUUUUUUAAAUUGUAAAAUUAUAAAUUUAGCCCCUAAAAAAAUUAUAAUUCAACUUCAGCCUCUAAAAUUUUUUCCUCUAACUUCAUCUCCCCAUAAUUCAAUAUAUUUAAAAAAAUUUGUGACUGACAUUACCAACAAAAAAUAUAUUUAUAAUUAGUAUUUAAUAUACAAUUAAUGAAAUGUUUUAAUUCUAUAAGCAAUGUUCAAAAUUUUCAUAUAUCUCAAUUUUUAAUAUUUUUUUUAUUAAAUCAUGAAUGAAAUAUAUAUUACCUUUCAGAUUUUACUUGUAGAGUCUAAUAACUAUAUGACGCAUUAAAUCAUUAUACAUAUAUAAGGUCAAGUGGUCCAUAGGUAGCUUAGAGUACAAGGGAUUAAGUUGAGGGUCUCUUAUCAUUUUCCCCAAAUGUGAAGUGAUGUUAACUGCUUAGCUUUCUCCUCUUGCCCCAUUCAUUUUCCUUCCUUUCCACAAUAUAUAUUGUAUAAGUAUUUAUGGGUAAUCGAUUGAGUAUUUACUCGAUUAAUAUGAGUAUUAAUGUCAAUAGAGGAGGACGUAGAUUUGGCGCAUUAUUCUUCUAAUCAUGGGUUGAGAGGCUAUGAGUAGUUUUAAAUAUUAUGUCCAAAAAAAACAGAUAUGAUUAGAACCUAUAAUAAGAUUAUUUAAAAAAAUAUUUAUGGGUAAUCAGUUUAUACAAUUUCGAUUAAAUGUAUAAAUCCAAUCAUUAAUCAUUAAAUUGUUUUACUUUAUGCCAUAGUAUUGUUUUAACUGCAUAAGCAUGUGGGUUAAUGAAAACUACUUAUAGUAUCUCAAUUAAAUGUAAUCAACAACCUCAACUCAUAUCUCCCAUCUCUCUCACUCUCAAUUAUAUAACCUAUUAAUAAUUAACAUUAAUAACCCACUUUCAAGUAGAUCUCAGGCUACCUGCCAUGCCAAGCCUAAAGCUUAUAAGAUGCUUGAAAAGGUUUGCACAAAUAUACAAGAAUAAGUAGGAUAAUGGUUUGGGCAAAAAUUAAGCUUAAUUAUUUAAAUUAUAGAUUAAAUUUAUCGAUAAAUCAUGUUAAGCGUAAUGAUAAGAUAUAUUAUACUCUUAAGAAAAGAAUGUAGAUUCAAAUACUAGAAACGAUAUUGUUAGGAAAAGUAAUCACAAAUCUCAAACAUGAAUCAUAAAAUAAACAUAUAAAAUACUAAAAAAAAUCGAAUUUAAACUCAUUUAAAAUUGUUGAAACAUGGAUAAUUUAACUCAAUAUUGCAACAGGAAUUUCGAUAUAGUUUCUAUAAAAUUUAGUGUUACAAUAUGAUUUCCCAUAGAAGUGUGAUAAAAUCAAUAAUGUUGACUUGUAUUAUUGCAUUAAGUAGUGCAUGAAAUGUAGGAUUCUAUUGUAAAAGAGAAUUAGAUAAAAUUGUAUAAAGUGCAUACUAAAAACUGUUUUGGAGGCUUUAAAGAAUUCUAUUCGCUUAAAAGGUAAGAGUCUACUUCAUCAGCUAAGGUUUACAAUGUAGGGUAAGUGUUCAAUCGAAUUAAGUGAAAAAAUUUUGAGUUUAUCGAGUUGAUGAGUCCUAUUUUAUCAUACUAACUUGAUUUGAAAUUUUCUCGAAUCGAGUCGAGUAAAAUGAAAUUCAAGCCAAAUCAAAUCAAGUGAAAUUAUUUGAGUUAAAUUAAAAAAUUAAACAUGUCAAAUUAAAAUCUUGUUAUAGUAUAACUAAUUUUAUGUUAGAGCACAUAAAUUUGAAAUCACAUAUAUUUGAAAACUUUUUCAAAGUAAAAUAAGAAAAAAAAUAAUUUAAUAUAAUAAACUUAAAUUAUUAAUUAACUUUUAUUUAAGUCCCCAAAAUUAUUAUUUUAAAAAAAAUUAAAUUUUUAACUUUCUUUAUAUACUUUAUAAUUUUUUUAAAAAAAUAUAAAAUUUGGAAUUUUUAUAAAUAUUUUGAAUUUUAAAAAUUAUUAUGAAAAUUUUGAAAUUUAUUUUGUAUUUUUUGUUGAAAGAGAUCAAUUUGCUUUUUUUUUUAAAAUUAAUAGGGACCAAAAGGGGUAUUUAUACCAAUCUAUUAUUCGAGUUAUUCGAAUUGUAAAAUUCAACUUGACUUGAACUCAGAACUCGAAUUACUUAUUCGAUUUAAUUCGAAAAAAUUGAAUAAGAUUCAAUUAACUUAGAAUUCGAUUUUUAUUUUAUUUUUUUGAUCAAAUCGAGUUUUGUUCACCCCUAAUAACUUGUUAGCAACUUAUGCAAGAAUUUUUUAAUUUUAAAAUAAAAGCUAAUAAGAUUAUUUUAUCUUGAUAUUAAAUGCUAUUUAUACAACAUAUAAAAGAUGGUGGAUACACACAGUUGGGGUAGACUUUUUGAGUGUUUCAUUUUUCGGGUUGAGGGAAUAUUUUGCAAGGUAAAUACACCUUGAUACCCUAGGUAUUAUUUGGAGAAUUUUAUUCACUUGUAUGCAAAGAUGUUUGCAAUAUGUGAUAAUAUUUUGGGAGAUUGGAUGCAAACAAUUGCAUACUAGUGAAACUACUUUUUAUCUACAUUUUGCAAGAUAGAUACAUUAUAAUUAGAGGUGUCCAUAAGUCGGAUUGGAUCCAAUCAAAAUUUUAUACCCAUUUGUCAGGCUAAAAAUAUUAAAAUUCGAGUCCCAUCUGGCCCGUUCGUAUUAAUUUUUUUAUAUAAUUUUUUAAAAUAUAUAUAAUACAUCAACAAUACUAAAAACAUUAAAAUAAAUGUUAAAAACAUUAAAAUAAAUGUUCCCCAACAAAUUGAAAAUAAAUUUACAAAUUGAUUAAUAAAUUUUAAAAAAAUAUGUAUACUUAAAUAACACUAAGAUAUGUAUAACUUAACAAGCAAAUACCUCUAGAAUAGUAACAAAAUUAAAAAUAAAACAACAGUAAUACAAUAUCCAAAUAAUAACAAUAAAAUAGUAGCAAUAUAAUUGUGAAAUGGUAGCAAAAUAAUGAAAAAGAAGAAGAAAAAAAAGAAAAAAAUUACAAUUCUUUUAUUUUGCAUAUUCGGGUCGGCUAUUUUCUAAACGGACCUUAUUUUUCAGCCAAAAAAGUCUUACCUGAGGCUCAACCCGUUUUCUAAACAAGCCUUAUUUUUUUGCCUAAACACAUUUUUCGGGCCUAUAUUUUUAUCCAAACCCUCCCACUUUUCAGGUCGGGCCACAUGUACAGGUUUAACCAUGAUAUAUUAGGUAUUAUUAUAAACUACUAAAUACUAAAUAAAAAAUAACAUUUAAAAUUAAAAAAAUGAAAAGAAAAAAAAACUUAAAUGAAUAUAUACAAUGUAACAAGGUACAUAAACCUACAUUGUGACAAGUGUCGCAACUUUAUUUUUUUAUUUAAUUUCUAUAUUGUUUAUCUAUUAAAUAAAAUUAAAAUAAUUUAAACACAAUUUUAUCUUAAUGUAUUACAAAAUUUAAUUAAAAUAAAUGAAAAUUGUUAUUUGGAAUAUAUGGAUUUUAAAAAUAAUAAUAAUUUUCAUUUAAAUAAAUUUUACAAAUAAUAUAUAAUGCUGAUUAUAUAGUUUUAAAUAAUAUUUUAAUAUAUGAAUUGUUAUCUACAUAUUUAUUUAAAUAUAUUACAAGAAUUAAAACUAUUUAAUAACAUAUUCAUCAUAAAAUAAAACGAGAAUUAUAAAUUAUUAUUAUUAUUAUUUUAAAAUAUUUAUUUAAAUAAAACUAUAUGAGCAUAGGUUGUAACAUUCUACAUAUUUAUAUAGGUAAACCAUCAUGAUAAAAACUAUUAUCAUAAAAUUUUGCACUUUUUAUUAUAUGAUAUGUAUAAAAUAGUUCAAUUAGAUAUGAUUAAUAAUAAUAUUUAUGCUCAUAAAAUUAUCAAAUUAUAUAUUACAAUGUAUUUAUAAUGGCUCAAAUAUUAAAUAAUGGUUUACGGGUUGUAAUAUAUAAUAGUUCAAACAUAUUAUAAAUUUGAAAUAUAAUAUAUAUUAUAUUGAAUUAUUAUUAAUAGUAGAUAAUACUGUUAUAAUAAUUUAUAGUAGUAAAAGUAAAGGGUGAGCUAACAAUUCAGUGUGUAACUCAAUCCAAACAAUCAGCACAAAUACAGAUACAGUAACAAAGAUGAAUAUAGAUACAGAUAUAAAUCCUACUUCAUCCACUACACACCAUAUUUGUUCAUCCCUAGACAUCAAUUAGAGUAUUAAAUACUCAUGCAACCUUACCCACCUAGAAGUGAGCGUAUGUCACUUUUCAGAACAGUGCAAUCAAGCUACCAGAAAUAAUGUAAUAAUCCGCCAGAAUUAGAUAAGUGUGGUCAAGCCAUCAGAACAAAUAUGUGGUUUAAACCACCAGAUAAGACAGAUCAUUAAAUUGUUAACACUUCCUCCAUCAUAUUAUUAUCCCACCUUAAUGCAUAUGCAAACAUUAAUCAGGUAACAAAUGCAUAUAUAUCAUACACGCUAUACGUAUCAGAAUAUACUAUCAUGCUUUUAGAAAUUGCACAAACAGAAUAUUAGAUUUCAUAUCUAUAAGUCAUACAUAACACAUUAUGAAACCUACAAAGUGGCUAAUCUCGAAUCGUACUUUAAAUACGGCCUAACUAAAUUUUAUAGAAAAUGAGCACACAUGCCCAUGUGACCCACACGGUCUGGCACACGGCCUCACACAUACUCAUGUGGCCCACAUGACCCACUUAACUUAGCCCAUGUGGCUCACAUGGUCGUGUGAUUUACACGGUCUGGCACACGGCCAUGUGGUGUCGACAAUGAAUUUUUUGGCUUCGCAUCGUUCAUUGUUUUUCGAGAUUAUCAUUACAGACUUGGUCGUUUUUCGAUACUAACACCACGAAAAAGAUUCCAGAACUUAAAACAACAUUUAACACGAACAAUUUAGCAACGAUACACUAAAUAUAAUCCAUUAAUUCAACCACAACCACUAACAUUAGGCCUUAACAAGCUGGAAAUCAGUCUUUUGGGCAUUCGAUUACUUACCCAGAACAGUAGUGACAGUCCUAAAAAUCUCCUAAUUCACUAGAAGGAUGUCACAUGCCUCACAAACUUCUCCUAUUGAAACAUCAAAACAAUCAAAAAAAUGAAUAUUGCAUAAUACUACAACCCCUAUUCGUCAUACGGAAACGAAUUAACCUUACCGAAGAAUGCACUUACAAGACUUACACUUAAACAAAAAUAUGAAUUCUUUGCUCGAACACGGCGCUACGGUGAUUACAUGCAAGAAAAUCAAUACCACAAGGAUUUAAACAUUGGACCUCUAGGUAAGCUGAAGUUUUACCACUAAAUCAACAAGCUCAUUCUUAUCAUUAAUUUAGCAAAAAUAAUAUAUAAGCUUAAUAUCCAAAGUCGGUGGUUGGGACAAAAAUAACAAAAAUUUAAAUGAAAGAAUUUGAACCUAGAACAUCACACACACUAACACAACACAUAACCAAUAAACUAAAUUAAUCACUUUAACAAUAUUUAACAAUUCAAAAAUAAGAAUUUUGAGACGUUGCUAAAUUGUAUCAUAUAUCAUAUAUCAAACUUACGAUACAUCAUUCAUAAAAAUUAUAACAAACUUACGAAAGGAUUUAAUGAUAUUUAAUUCUUAACGGGUAAAAACUUAUAUCAUAUAUCAUAUAUAUUUAUAUAUUAAGAAUUUGAAUCAUUAAUUAUAUAUCUAUAUAUUAUAAUAGUUUCAUCUUUCAAAUUUUCUUCCUCAUAAUUAAAGCAUAAGUUAUAUUUAUAAUAUCAUAAAUAUAUUAUAUUUCAAAAAUUUACACACAUAAUCAACCUAUACAUCGCUCGUGAUAAGAAAACUAAUUUAUAAAUAUGAAUGUACAAAAUUCGAGCUAAAUCUAGCUUCAAUUUUCCGGUGAACUUCUUUUGACUUUAAAUCUUACUUUUUCUUCUUCUUUUUGGCAAAAUAACUUAUUUGGCACAAAAACAAAAGUCGUUUUAACUUUUUUUUUCACCAUUUUUUAGCAUUUAAACUUGCAUUUUUUUGUUAAAUCACUCCAAAAUGAAUGGAAAAGUUAACAUUUUUAACUUUGCUGAUGUUUCGUACAUGUGGAUAACACAUCAACAUUUAAUAAAUCUUAAAAAAAUUAUAAAAACUAUUUUUAAAAUUUAAAAUAUUAAUAUUAUAAAAAAAUAUAAAUAUUUUUAAAAAUUAAUUAAAUGCUGAUGGGUCAUCUACGUAGCAAUCCAUAUGUAUGUCAUGUCAACAAAGUUAACAAAUAUUAAUAUUUUCAUCCAUUUUAGGAUGAUUUAACAAAAUAUAUAAAUUUAAAGACUAAAGAUGCGAAAAUAAUUAUAAGACCAAAAUGACUUUUUUUUUUAAUUGAAGGACGAAAUAAAUGAUUAUGUAAAGUUGUGAAUAUUAAUAUUACCAUAACAAUCAUAAUUCGCUUAUGGUUUAUUCAUUUUUAGGGUUUUCCUUACUAGGAGUCUAGGAUACUUGAAGGCAGAUAUUAUUAUUAUUAUUAUUAUUAUUAUUAUUAUUAAAUUUAAACAUAUUUUUUUAAUUAAGGAACAAUAAUUUGGUCCGGGUCGGUCCUUGGACAGUAUUGUAAUUUCCCAAGUUAUUAACAUUUGUUUAGGGUUUCUCAUAGUUAAGAAUUAAGUGGGCUAAUUUCCCAACUUAGAUUUGAUGAUACGAUUAAAAAAUAGGAAAUAUCAAAAUAUGAUCAUAUGAAUUAUUAAUACUAGUUUUUUUUUAUCUGAGUAAAUAGAUAAUUACUUGAAUCAAUUUAAUAAAAAUUAAUAUACUAAAAAAUACAAUUCCAUCAUUUUAAUAGUUUAUAUAUUUAUAAUUUUUAAAGAAUUAAAUUAAUAUUUUAUCAUUUUAGGGAGUUAAAAUUUAAUUUUACUAUUAUUAAUUUAAAAUUUUAUAAAUUAUAUGUACAUACCCAAUUUUGCCAAACCCAAAUACAUUUCAAACCCUUACUAACCCAAGUCUGUUUACAAUAUUUUCAGCCCAAUUAGCCUAACCCAAGUACUACUAGCCCAAUACCCUAAAUUAACCUAGCCCAGCAGCCCAAAACAAAUUAGCAGAGAGGAAACCCUAAUUCCACUUGCCUCCUUACUUGCGCCGCACGCUCUUCUGCCCUUGGCUACCACGCCCCACUUUCUUCUGACACCAGCACUGGCCACCUGCUCCACCAUGCCUCUGCCACCGCCGUUCGCCCAUACCCUGCAAAAUGAAACAAAUGCCAAGACAGAAGCAGACAGCACAAGCAGUAACAGAGAAUAAAACAAACAAUACUUUAAUAUGGGAAUCGGCUAUAAAGCCGAAAUGGAAAAUCUGUAAAAGGGGGGAUUUUUGCUAUGAAAACAAAGAUUUUCUUUCAAUUUUAACAGAUUGAAUACAAGAACCAUUCGAAAAUACAUAUACAAUCAGGGGCUCUAACACCAAAUCGGAGAAUCAAAUCUAAAACCUAAGGUGACUUUUCUUUCAUUUUUUCUUUACUAUUUUGAGUUUGUUUUUUACACAAAAAUACUAAAAAAAAUAACAAAACACAUAAAAACAUAUAUAUUAUUAAGCAAAAAAAAAGAAAAGAAAAUUUACCUUUUCCGGCCACCGUGCACGGUGGCCGACGCCGACGAGUCUCCGGUAACCGUCCGGCGACCGGACCCCUGGCCGGAGUCCCACCGAAAAUCGCCCUCUCCCUCUCCCUCUCCCUUUCUUUUCUUUUUUUUCCUUUCCCCAUCCCCAAAUGAAUUUUUUUUUAAUUUUUAACUUAUAUAGGGGACCAAAACGUCCCCCCCUUUAAUAAAUAAAACGACGUCGUUUUGGACGCGGGUCGGGUCGACCCAACCCGCACCAGGGCAGGAUCCGCGUGUUUCUUAGCGGAAGGGAAAUUUGCGUGCUCGGCCUUUCCGCUUUUCUGAGAUUUCACAAUUACGUUUUUUAUGUUUUGUAAUUCGGCCCUAGAAUUUUUCAUCGUUUUCAAUCUGGUCUCCGUGCUGCGCAACGUUUAGAUAGUUGGGAUUAUUUUCAAUUUUGGUCCCUCCAGGUUGCGCGUGCCUCACAUUUUGAUCCCUCCUCUUUGUUUCCUUUUUAAAUUGACCCCACAACAUUGUUUUUAAUUUAAUUUUAGUCCUUUUUCGUUAUUUUUAUUUCCUUAUUAAAUACUCUUAUUAUUUUUAUAUUAUUAAUUUUAUUAUGUAUUAGUUUAUGUUUUAUUAUACAAUUAUAUAUUUAUAAUAUGUAUACACGCUUAAUAUAUUUGUAUAUACUUAUAUAAUAUUAGUACUAAAAGUUUUUAUUUUAAUAUGUAUAUAUUACCUAAAUGUUUAAAAUUAUAUAUGUACGUAUAUUCUUCAUUAUGUUCUUAAUACUAUACUUUACAUAUAUCGUACAUUUUUGUUUCAAGUUUGCUUUCAUGUAUUGUUUAGUCAAAAUUGUUUUAUUACUCAUUUUAAAAUUGUUUCACAUACUUUGCUUUAAACAUUAUAUCUCUUUCAUAUUAUGCACGUCAUUUUUAACUCUAUAUUGUAUAUCACAAUCUCAUAUAUUAUGUAUGUACUUCUCAUAUUAUUAGUUAUGUAUAUAUUCUUUACAUUAUCUUAUGUACAUAUAUUUUUCAUAUUAUAUUAUAUACCUAUCCUUUUGAUACCAUGUUGUAUAUAUUUUCAAUACUAUAUUACAAAAAUUUUUACCAUAUUAUGUAUGUUAUGUAUAUACGUUUUAAUGUUUUUGUAUUAUCUUAUAUGUAUAUUUUAAUAACUAUAUGAGGUAUGUAUUUUUAACACCGUAUUAUGUACAUAACUUUCAACAUCAUUGUAUACACACUUUUUAAUACUAUGUUAUUUAUACGUUUUUAUAGGUAUCGUGUACAUGCUCUAAAUACCAUCAUGUAUAUAGUUUUUUAUUGUUACUAUUAUGUAUACAUAUAUAUAGUAUCAUUAAUAGUUCUAAUAUCAUGCUCCCAUCACUUUGCUAACUAUUAUUAUAUGUUUGUAUAUAUUAAUUCUUAUUUCGCGUUUAAUACUAUUGUUAACAUAUUUAAUAUCGCAUAUAUGGCCAUUGUUUUAAUAUUCUCGUCGUAUUUAUCAUUUAUUUCAACAUAUUUCUAGCCCUUCCAUUUGUUCACUUUUAUUUCAUAUCAAUUUUGCUUGGCAUUUCUUCGAAAAUCUUAUUCUCGUUUUCUAAUUAAUUUCAAUAAUCGAGGCAACAUAUCGACUUAACAUUAAGUCAUCGAGUUCAUCGCUAUGUUGGGUGAACGUCAAUUGACACGUGUUAAAGCGAUAUACCCUUCUCAAAAAACGGAAUAAACUAAAAUUUCUCGUUUUUUAAUCGGAUCACGACUAAAUUUUACAUUGAACCCGAAUUUUUAAAAAUCAAGACAACCUGUGUUUAUGAGAUACCAAUUUUUGGGCGUCGCGAGGGUGCUAAUACCUUCCUCGCGUGUAACCGACUCCCGAACCUUAAUUUUUCUCUGGCUUUUAACGUAGACCUAAACUCAGUCUUUUUCUCGUUUUUAAAGAAAAAAGAAAUUUAUUAGGUGUUCGAUCACACCUAGGAAAAAGGAUCGGUGGCGACUCCCCCUUUUAUUUCAAAAUCGAACUUCAGUUUCCAAACUUUUUCACUAGAUCGCCACAAUUAGCGACCCCGAAACCAAUUUUUACGUCGCUACAUUAUAAAUGAGACUAAAUAGAAAAUUUUCUAUUUUAAGAAGGCUCAAAGACCUUGCCAGCCUCCUUGACUUCACCAUUGAAAUCUAGAAUAUACUCCUCACUAUGCUUUGGAAAAUUAAAGAUUUGAAAUUAUAUUAUUGUGUAAUAGAUAUAAUUAAUUUUUAAAUAUAUAAAUAAAGUUAAAGUUAAAAUUAAAUCACUGUGAUAAAUUGUAUAGAAUAUAGAUGAUUUAAGACAUGAUGCAAAUAAAACAUAGUUAAAUAAUUAAUAUAUAGCAUGCCAUAAUAAUAAAGGUGAAUCUAGAGGGUUCACAGGGCUUGAUUCUCCUAAAAUAGAAAAUUAUUAUUUAGAUUUUUUUAAAAAAUUUAAAAUUUUAAAUUAAUAAAAAUAAAAUUGUACUUUGAUUUCCCUAAAAUUAUAAAUUUUUUAUUCAAUCCUUUUAAAAAUUAUAAAGAUAUAAACUAUUAAAAAUUAAAUUUUCAUUUGGCCCCCUAAAAAAAUAUUCUGGCUUCGCCCCUGCAUGAUAAUAAUAUUAAUACAACACAAAUACACAAAAAAAUCAAAAUCUAUACAUAACAAUUAUUUACUUGUAUAAUUUUAUAAUAUUUUGAAUACAAAGAAAUAACACAAACAAUUUUCUCUAAAUUGAAUCACUCAAAUAAAAUAUUUUAAAUAUCUCAUGAUUUUAAAAUAUACUAUAAGGAUAAUUUUUUAAAAAUAAUUUAUUAUGAUAAAUCAUAUAAAUUAAAUAAAGAAACAAUACUAAUCCAACAUAAAAGAAAUGUAAUAAUAAUAUCAUAAAAAAUAUGUUCUUAGUUAAUGAUUUAGUCUGUACUUUGAGAAUUAGAGAAAACUCGAGUUCGAGAUUCAAUUAUAUAUGAGAAAAGUAUUAACAACCUCACAAUAACUUAAUACAUGUUGUUUUAAAAUUUUGAACCCAGUAUUUAAAUAUGAUCCCGUAAAAUUUAAGAAUGCAUGAAAUUUAUUAAUUAAGUGAAUUUGAUUUUGGAAAUAAACAAAAUACUCAAUUUAAUUUUAUUAUAUUUUUUAAAAUUUACUCACAUUAUAACAUUAAGAACAACAAAUGAGAGCGUAUCCAGUAAUUUUGGCAACAAUCUCUUUAAUUUUCGUAAUGCUAAAAUAUUACCUUUUUUUUUAAAAUUAAAUCGAUGUAAAGAAAUUCAUAGGUGCAUUUUCAUAUAAAUAAUUGAAUUAUUCAAAAUUACAUGCAUUUAGAGAUAAAUAUUUUACCCAGCACUACGCUUGUUCGACUCGUAAAAGGCAAAAAUUAGGAUUCAAAAUUAAAUUAUAAUUUUUAUGAUAAUAAAAAUUACUUAGGACAUCAUGUUCUCAAAAACUCAAACCUUUAUCAACAUAGAAUUGAAUCGAAUAUCGUUUUCAUCUUCCCAAGUUUCUAUACAUAAACUAUGAACACGGAAUUAAACAAUACAAAAAUGGUAUUCUUCUUCCAUUGACAUUUGAUAUCAGCUUCAGAAAAGGCAAAAGACAAGAAUAAAGAGAUAAAACAAAAGAUUAAAUCAAUCCUAUAUCCUUGACUGACAUAAUUUACCUUAAAAACUCUAUACUUUAACCAAUCCCACCUAUAUGAUUUUUCUGUUUUCCUAUACAUAACUUAAAGCUUACUUGGAACCAAGUCAUUGUAUUGUAUUUCAUGUAAUUUUUUGAAGCAGAUCCUCAUCUCCUCCAUCUGCAUUGAAGGAAUAGAUGUCGACCGGGGCCACCGUGCAACCCAUGGCAUUCUGCUUGGUUCUUUUAUUACAAAAGGAGCCUCGGUGUUUGUCUAGAUAGAUUACAAUCACGGUGAUAUCGUCGUGAAAAUGGCGCCUUAUCCCCUUUUUUAUUUUCUUGAUGUCACUGUAUCUCAUCUCCCUUUUCUUUGCAACUUCUUGAAGUACAGCUCUUACCAAUCUCCUGGCAAUACCCUGCAAGCAUUCAAGCAAACAAAUAUCAAUAAUGAAAUGCAUUGCAUUUCCAUAGGUUUCAUUAGGUUAAUGGAAGAACACGAAUACUCACGGCUCUCGGGUUUUUGAAAACGAUGUUUACAGCAGCUUCAUCACUCAACUGCUCCCAUAGGCCGUCUGAUGCAAAGAUGAGGAAUUGAUCCUGUGGCUUAAGCUUUCUAAUAAGGAUCGUUCUGCUGUAAUAACCGGCCUUUUAAGAGGAACAGGGUUUCCGAACUGCUGGAAGAUCGGAUCUCUAUAAAACUCAGGUUUCUUCAGGUAAACAUCACCUAUAGAUCUUGACACCUGAAAUAAGAAAAACAAAAAUGGCUUAGACCAGCAUGAUCACUCACAUGCUCAAAGAUCAUGUAUUAAUCAAUCAUCUCCAGUUCUACAAUCCAAUGUAAGAUAAAAGCUAAUGCAUCUUAUUCUCUCGAUUCGUGAAUGGAUCGAAGUAAAAAGCUCAACUUGCCUACCAAAGUAAAGGGGAACAACAUCACAAAAAGAGAAGAAAAACAUAAAAACGAGAGAGCAUCGAUUCCUUGCAGUUACAUAAGCCUAGCUUUAUGCUUCAGGGGCCUGCAUUUGUCCAUCUCAUGCAUAUAAGGCAUACUAUAUGGAAAAUAGCAGCAUGAAACAGUACUGGAAAUCAGACCAAAAUAUUCUUGGAAAAGUCGAAAAACUCAGAAUUAUAACCAUUUUUUAGAAUGAACUUCCAUUCUAAUGCACAAUGUAUACAUCCAUAAUUAUACCUCUCCAUCAAGCAAAAAGAAACAAAAUGGUUGCAAGCAAUGCCUACGAAGAGGAAGUUAAUUGGCAACUAAUUCUAGAAUCAACAUAUUGAUCAUUUCUCAAGCAGACUAGUUUUGAACUAAACGAUUAUAAAUCAACUUGUCAAUAAAAUUGUACCUGGAUUAUGCCCUUAAUCUUCCAAACUCCGCGGGUGUAAACGACUAUAUGUGAGUCAUCUGGAUGAAGUUCCUCGACCUCCUUUCGAACUUCCUCGACUCCAACAUUAUGAUCAGUUGACAACCUCUCUGCCACUACUGUGUUUUCCUUAUCCCCCGAAGCUUUCCUGCCAAGAACAGCUCUCGAGUCACCGAGAUUCGCCACGUAUAACACAUCAUUCGAAAUUGCACCAACUAGACAGCAUGAUCCAACCGAAGCAAUUUGAGGCCUCACGGACAAUGAUCGCUUCACCAAACGCAAAAACUCCUCUUCAGUGGCAUUGAAUGCCUUCUUUAUCACAUCUGCAGAUAAUCCCCCUUGUUCUGUAGCAAAUUCUACAAUGAAUAAAGAAAAAAAAAUUUAAGGGUCUCCAUCAAUCUUUUUUAGAAUCCAAGUGCAUGCUUAUCACUGAAAAGUGUGCAAAACAAAGAAAAAUAAAUGACCUGAAAAAUGCCAAAACUUGAACUACACUUACUAAUUAUUCCGAAAAAUUCAAGUCCAGACAACCCCAAGUAGAUACAAAUUUAGACAAAUAGUUCAUAUUCUCUUUUCCCAUCAAAACAUAGUGCUACAUGACUGUGGAGCGGGGCAAGAUAGAUAUUGUCAAAUUCAUUACUGUUCCAUUGCUGGCAUGAUCUGCCUCGACCCCACUCUGCUUCGCCAUAAAUGUUAAAACUUGAAUAUCAUUACUUUUAAUAUGCAUAAUCUAUCAAUACCUCACCUAAUAUAUACAUUUUUACUCGUUUUAAAAGUUAAAUAUAUAAGAAUAGAGCAAAUAUCAAAAUUAAGUGCCCCAUUGGUCCCUCUUUUACUGUUAAAAAUUAGAAAAAGAAAGUCUAUUUGGAGUCAUCAGUUCGAAAUCUAUCAAACUAAAUACAUAUUUGAUGAUUCCAUAGACAACUUAUGAUUUUCCUGACAAGGUCAUAUCUAUAUACAUACAUGAUCACAUGUUCAUUCAUGUCAUACAUACAUAGGAAUGUUGAAAUAAAGAGGGAAAAAGGGAAUUACUGUGGAGAAAAGGGAAGAGAUGUUUGUUAACAAAACGGGAAGCUUCCGGACCGCCAUGACCAUCGUAGACGCCAACGUAGGUAGCAAAAGGAGAGGUGAAGACUUGGCUUUGAUCUUCGAGACAGUUGUUAGCCUGCACGACGGCGAUGGAGAAAUCACCGGAAGCGUGGGGUUUAAGGUCAGCGUGCCACAUGAGAGCAUCCCCACCAGCUCUAACGCCAAGACAACGUUCGAGCGGCCUGGAAAGGGACCGUAACAUCAUCAUCAUCGUGUUUAAAAAAUAAUAAUAAUCCCUUUAUAGGGGAUUUGAUUAAAUGAAAACCUUUUCGAUGGUUUCAAUGGGGGGUUUCACUUUGGGGGAGAGGAAAAUGGAAAGAUAUUAAGAGGGAAAGAGAGAGUAGAGAGUGGGGUAAAGUGAAUGGAAAAGAAAUGCCGCGUAAAGAGAGGCAGAUGAUGAUGACCAACGACCCCCGAUGCUUGCUGUAAUUACUUCCCACUCUACGCGUUAACCACCCUUUUUCUUCUUUUUUGACUUUUAAACCCAAAUCCUUUUCUUUUAUUUUUAAUUUAUUGAAUGGAGACACUUAGGUCUAAUUUAAUAUUUCAAUUUUUAAAGAAUCGUAUCAGUGAUUGAAUUAUGUAUCUACUUAUUCUCGAUUUAAUCGGUUAGUUUAGCUCAAUUUAGGCCUGUUCAGAUUAUUCAACUUAAAAAUUUGUUCGAAAAGUGAGAUGAUUUAGGUAAAAAUAUAUGUUUAAAAAAUAAAUUUUAAUAAAAAAAUAAGGUAUAUUUUUUAAAUAGAUUGAGUCUUAAUAUUUUUUUGUUCAGGCUCAACUUGAUCUGGCUCAAAUUUGUAAAAAAAAAAAAUGUUGUUACUUUGUCAUUGUUUUACUGUCAUUUCGCUAUUAUAUUAUUACUAUUUUAUUGUUUUUGUUUAGAUAUUGUAUAAUUAUUUUUUUAUUGUUGAUUUGGCUACUAUUUUAGAACCAUUUGCUUACUAAGUUGCACUUAUAUCUUGGUGUUAGUUAAGUAUAAAUAUCUUUUAAAAAUUUGUUUUCAAUUUAUUGGGAAACAUUUAUUGCUCCAACUGACCUAUGGAUAGCUCUAGUUCAAUCCUUUUGCCCGAAUUGAUAUAUCAAUUGAUUUAUUGGUUCAACUAAUUCGAUUAGUUGAUUUUAUUUGAUUUGAUUCAAAAACACUAAGUGUUAUUUCAAGUUUAACUUAAUUUAUAUUUGUGUUGAUAGUUUAAAUUAUUUUAAUUUUAAAUCAUUCAAAUUCAACACUUAAUUUUUUGGGUCAGAUCGUUUUAGGACUAUUUCAUAUUAUAAUUUUAUAAAAAGGAAGUUGAACUGAAUAAUAUUUAAGUUUUUGAGUUGAAAUUCAAAUCAAUGUUAUUAAAUUGGGUCAUAAUUAAUAGGUGUACUAGAAUCUAAUUACAAAUAUAUAUCUAUAAGAUAAAACCAAAAAUAAAGGAUUAACAUCUGACCAAGUAUUGACAAUGCAUUGUUAUCCACAAAUUUAAUUAGAUACAAAACAAGAUAAACACUGUAAUGUGAAUUUCGUAUGUUAACUUAACGGUUAGGAUAUUCAUCGCUUCAAAUGUGAUUUGGGAUUGAGUCACAUUAUCUCUAAUAUGUCCUCUACCAAAGAAAAUGGAGGACUAAAGUUUGAAAUCUUAUUUAGUAUUUACAGCCAUGAUCAAUUUCUCUUUAUGAUCUCCACCCAUACAAUAAAUGUGAAAAGUGUAGCAGUACGAAUACCAUGUUUUUAUAGGGGCCGCCAUUCAAGAAUAUAUUACUUCCUCUGAACCUGACACUAAGGCAUGGAUAGCAACUUACAAUGUAUCAAAUUAAACACUAAAAUUAAACUCAUAUAUCAAAUUGAGAUUUAAAAAAAAACACUCAAAUACAAAAUUUGACAUUAAAAUCAAACGCAAGUACCGAAAAAUAUAUUAAUCCAUAUUCAUAAACCUUUUUCUUUGUUUUUGCACCCGUCAAAAUUCCAAGACUUACAUAUCUCUAAUUAAGAGCAUCAUCAUUUACAAAAAUUAAAAAAUUAAUCCCUCUACUUUAAUUUGUUAUAAUUUGUCCCACGUAAGUUAUAACAACCGAAAAGUUAAUCUAAUUAAGUAAUAUUGUUAAACCUUAUCAUUGAAUUGUUUGUUUGGAAACCAGCAAUUUAACAACUUAUAUGCAACAAAUUAACAAAACUCAUUUGUUCAAGUUCAUGUUUUGAAUAACACCUGGACUAAAUUUCCAAUUUUCAUAUGCUACAAUGACUAAAUUUUGACAAAUUAAAGUAGAGGGACCAACUUCUCAAUUUUCAUAAAGUAGGGGAUGAAAAUCAUAAUUAGACCAUGUAUAUGUUCUAUCGUGUGAGUUGGGGCCUGUUUUAUAGUAUACUUCUACAGUAAGGACAGUCCCCACACGUUCUGAGCCAAGGAUCUAAGCAAGCAAAGUGAAACCUGUGCCCACACGGCAGCUGAGUAAGCACAUCUCCUUCUCCGAAGCUUUCAAGGCAUAUACUGCAAUCUCUUGAUUCCCUUGAUGUCUUCCUUUCAACAUUGAUGUCUUGGCUGCGGAAAAUUUCCAGCGGCAAACGGUCCAGAGCCUCCUGAGUAAGUCCAGGAGGCUUCUUGUUUGUUUCUCGUAACAAUUCGAAUCUUUCUGCUUCAGAGGUUAAUGGGGAACCCCUAGCUGCCAACCCUGUAGAGAGUUCACUUAUGAUCCUAAAAUCAUCGCGCGUUACAUGCUCCCGGUGGGAAGCAUUAGGUGGAGCUCUAUUGCUUCGCCUGAAGAAAACAACAGGAAGAAACCGUAAUGAGAGGGAAAAGAAAAGAUGUACAAAAUGUUUAAAUAGCGGUUAAUGCAGGACCUAACAUAUAUGUGUCCAUUAUUGAAUGCCACGUGCAAGUAAAAUUCAGGAUCGAGUGGUCCACAUGCUUCUCUCAAGCAGUAGAUGGUAGUUAGGAAACGAGUAACACUAAUUCGCUGUGUACAUGAAGUGGUACCAAAAGUGGUCUGGAUAGUCAUAGUGGCUAAUGAUGUUACUACUUAGAACCUAUGUUACUCAGAGUCAGGCAUGAGUUUCAGAUAUGGAUAUGUAUCCAGUACAGGUAUAAUUACUUUUUCUAAGUUUUUCCAUAUAUUUAAAAGAUCCUUGGAGGUCAUAUCCUCGUAUUUGUGUGUCAGACACGAGUGUCAAAUGAAGAGUCCGAGCAACAUAGCUUAGAACCACUAAUAUUACCAUAGAAUAGGAAGCACCAGCAGUGGGACUGGACCAUAUUGAUAGUUAGCAAUGCGAGAACAACAGGCACUAAUGGGCAGAAAGCACCAAUAACAGCAGUGGGCCUGGAAAUUAAGGUACUACUGGUAGGUAAGGAGUGACGAAAGCAAUAUCAGCUUGAAUGUAUAAGCAGAAGUGGGACAGAAAUUUCAAGCAUAAAAACAAAAAUUCAAUCUAUUCAAGAAUAUAUACAUAUAGAGCGAGAGAGAGACUAAAUUCAACUUAAACAUUUUCAAGGAAAAAAAGAAAAAGCCUGCCGAAAUAUGAUGAUUAUGUUAGGCAAUUCCAUAGAAGAAAGUUCAAAUUCACUAGUGACAACCCACCCAACUGACCAGCUGAAAAGUCCAUGGUAAGUUGGAAAAUAGUUUGGACCGAGUGAAAUUAGUCUCAACAUUAACUGGCUACAACCCCUAACAGCUCUACCAUAUGAUACGGUAUCUCUAUUCUUACUGCUAAACCAAGUCAGACUCCUAGUACCCCUAAUACAAGACUACAUAUUUAUCAUUUGGAUUCACUAAUAAUAAGGUAGCACAAUGAACUGCAAGGCACUGAUUCUUCCUACAGGUUACGAUGCAAAUUGCUCAUAUGAUAGACACUUCUUUUGAUCAUAUUGCACCCUCAAUAGAUCCACAAAAUCAAAGUUCAAGAGCAAAAUCAUUCUGAAUUUAGGUAAAACUUUCACAGACACAGAGCUCCACAUGACUUGUCUAUCCUAUCAUCAAACUUCAGAAAUAAGUAAUAGAGAAGAGAUGUGCUGUGCUGUGCUGUCUUUAAAAAAUGAAAUUUGUGACAGACCAAGAAUAGUGGGAUAAAUUUGGUCCAACUUGAGUAGCAAAACAAAUUGAGUGCCACAGGCAAGUUCACCAUCAAUGAUAAAAGUGGCUUCCAAUUGGUGUCAAAGAUCAUGCAGAUAAGAAAGAACAUGAUUCAAUAGCUAUUAUAAUUUACUUGUUCUUGCAGUUUGACCAGUAAUAAUGCUGUACAUAAUACAUGGACAAGAAAUGCAAAUACUAAAAGUUGCAAAUUUGCAGAGAGCUCUAGGUAACCUGUUUGCAGAAACAGACACGCCUCUUAGUCUUUCAACAAGCCUUGCUCUUGCAAGCAGCACAGCUCCAGGAAGCCUCUCAUUUGCUCUCAAACUUUGCCUGCUUGAACUGCUUACACCAUCUGCAUUUAAUCCAUAGCUCGAACUGAGCUCACCAGUACCUUCAUCAAACCCUUCUCUAGCAAGCCUCUCACUUGAUCUCAAACUUUGCCUUCUUGCAUUGCUUACACCGACUGCAUUUAACCCAUUGCUCGAUACAAGCUCGCUGGUACCUUCAUCAAACCGCACUGAUGAACGCUCCUGAAAAAGUAAUAUCCAAAUAUAAGCGAUUCAGGCAAGGAGAAAUAAAUUACAUAGACUAGGUAAUAAUAUCAAACUUCCUUGUUUAUUCUUGUAUAUGUGGCAAAAUCUUACUGCAAGUGAGCUUAGGCUUUGCUUGGUACCAAAGAUGGAAAGGAUGAACAUGGAAAAUUUGUUCAUCAAAUGUUAAGAUUCAUAUCCACCUUAUUACUUUGUAACUUAACCAUCAGAUAAACAAUUUUCCAAUUCACUCCUUUCCGUCGUUCAUAACAAGCAGAGCCUUAGGGUUUAGAAAAAUUGUCAAGAAAAUACCUAUUCUUCAGUAAUUUCACUGAUAAAUUUAGCUUAAAACUAAUAAUUUUCAGAGCAAAGUUCAGUAUUGAAGCAUAAAACAGACAACGAAUAAAGUACCAAUAAAUUGGUUGAAAAUCCAAUUCUUAAAUUAAAAAUAAAAAAAUAAAUAUAUUUUCCCUUCCAAAAAUAAUACUUAAUUCACCCCCAUUUUUCCUUUAAGUUCUCUUUUUUCUCAGCAAUAAAAUAAAAACAAAUACCUAACAAGAAAUAAAUAAUUUGAAAAAAAAAAGGUAAAAGAGAAAUUGAGCGCACAGAGAGCGAGGAAGCACGGGAGCUGAAGUGGCGCACGUGGGGAGACCGGCGGAGGGAAUCACCGCCGUCCAAAUCAUGCCUCUGAUUGUGAUGACUGAGAUGAUUCCGGCGAUGGUAAUUCCGUUCAAUUGAGGACCCAAUCCCUGAAUCCGGAUCGGGUCGACCCACUCUUGACCUUCGUGUGUAGAAUAACUCCGAAGCGCUUGUCAUCCAACUAAAACCCCCAAAUGGUGUUUUGAUCUGAUCUUACCAAUUAAAAUUUAUUUUUAAUUUCUCCAAAAAAAAUUUAAAUAAACAUGCAAAUUGUAAUUUGGAUUAAGAAAUAAAGGAAGAGAAGCUGAUGAACCCUACGAAGAAACGCGGGAGAAAUUCCUGCGAAUGAAAAUCGAUAGCCUUAGCUUCAAAGGAAAUGAAUGGAAAGGGAUGUGCGUUUUUUUAACCCUAAAUGGUUUAAUUCCGGUUUUAGUCCCCCUCCUAAGCUAAAAUGUAAUAUUUAAUCUUAUAUUUUAAUUUUAUAUACUUUCGUCUUUGAUAUUAAAGAAUAAUAUUUGAUACACCGCAAAUACAUUAUCAUCGAACAAUAACAUGAUACUUGAGUAUAAACAAAAUUAGUGAAAGAAUUAUCAAUAAAUAUUAACAAUUUUAUUUAGUUUUUUUUUUAUUUUUAAAUUUCACAUUUCGAAUUUUAGAUAUAUUUAAAUAAAAUUAUUAAUAUUUAUUUAUAAGUCAUUCAUUAUUUUUUAUUUCAUUAGCAUUGAGGUGUCGUGUUAUUAUUCAUUAAUGGUUGACGAUUUAUUUUUAUUAAUUUUUAUCAUUAUAACGAUGAUGUGAAAUCUUUUAUUGACAAUUUUGUUAUGGUCAAGGUAGCCAUAAUAUAUGUUUUUUAAUACAAAUUCUGGAUAAUAAUUAGUAAUAUUAAGAAAGUAAAAAAAUUAAAUCAUGUUAAAUUAAUCGAGGUUUAAGGGUGUAAAAGCUCUUCAAUUUUUUCAAAAAAGCAAUUAAGUCUUUACUUUUUUCACUCAAUUGAGUACUUUAACUUUUAAAAUGCAUAAAAAAGGACCUUCAAACUUUUUCAAAAAAAAUUAAGCCCCUACUUUUUUUUACACUCAAUUUGGCACUUGAACUUUCAAAAUAUAUAUAAAAAAAAACCUUCAAGCUUUUUCAAAAAAAGCAAUUAAGCCCAUACUUUUUUUUUACUCAGUUGAUUGGGUAAUUAAAUUGUCAAAAUGCAUAAAAAAUAACAUUUGAUUGUUAACUUUAACAGUUAACCGUUAAAAUUAACUGCCCCUAAUUUUUUUCAAUUAAAAUCAUCCCGUGUCACAACCACAACAUGACAUAUGACAAAACAAUUAUAAAAAAUAAAAAUCAAUACAAGUUAUAAAAAGUAUUAAACUUUAAUAAAAAUAUAAAAUUUAUUAAAAUUGUAAAAUUUUAUAAAAAUCAUAAAUAAUUAUAAAAUGUAUCAAAAAGGCCCUUUAACCAUCAAUUUUUACCGUUGACUGUUAAAGUUAACGACCCCCAAUUUUUUUCUAAUUAAAGUCAUCACGUAUCGUAAUACAGUGUGGCAUGUGGCAAAAAUGAUAAAAAAAAAUAAAGAACAAUUAAAGUUAUAGAAAAAUUAUAAAAUGCUUGUUUAAAAAUUAUAAAAUACUUCUUUUGGUACGAUAAUUUUUAUAUUUUUUUAUAAAUUUUAUAUUUCUUUACAUUUUUUUAUAAUUUUCUUACAAUUUUUAUAAUUGUUUAUGAUUUUUAUAAUUUUUUUUCUAAUUUUUAAUAUUUUUAUAUUUUUAUUAAAAUUUAAUGAUUUUUUAUAAAUUUUAUUUAUUUUUAAUUUUUAUCAUUGUUUUGCCACAUUUCACGCCAUGGUUGUGACACAAGAUAACUUUAACUGAAAAAAUUAGGGUCAGUUAACUUUAACGGUUUGAUUAUUAAAUUUAACAAUCAAAGGGUCUUUUUUUUAUGCCUUUUGGCAGUUCAAAUACCCAAUUUAGUGUAAAAAAAAUAAAGGUUUAAUUGAUUCUUUUUUUAAAAAAAAAGUUUGAGAGUCUUUUUUGUGCAUUUUGACAAUUCAAGUACCUAAUUGAGUAAAAAAAAAGAACAAGGGUUAAUUAAUUUUCUUGAAAAAAUCUUGAAGAUUUUUUACACCCUUAACCCAUUAAUCAACCAACUGUGUCAUUGAAAUUUGAUGAUUUGGGAAAAUAUCUUGUGAAUAUCAAUUAGAGAAAUUAAAUCUGAAUUUCAAUAUAUUAGAGGGACUAAACCCAGAAAUUUACCGUGAAAAAGAAAAGGUAUAUCUUUAUGUGUUAGUUGAAGGACUAGUAUUUAGAUGUAGCCACGCGUUAAACAAAGUGUUCCAUUACAUCAACAUAGAAUUUAUUUUCCUUCAAUAAGAUUUUUUGCGUUGACUGUUGACCAUGGAAAAACUAUAAAUCAAAUUAUUAAUUGAAAAUGAUAUAUAUUCCUUCAAUGAGAAUCUUUUUAUUACCUUAAGUCGAGAAUUUGAUUCUCACCUUGUAUAUGGAGUAGUUUUAGAACUCGUAACUUAAUAUCUACCUCUUAAUAGACCUACAGAAUAGAAAAGAUUAGUUACUAUCUAACUUCAAUAAAUACAUUGAAAAAUAAAAAAAAUCGAUAUUAAAUGAAAUAGACAUAAUAGAUUUCUAAAGUCAACUUUGGUCAAUAUAAAUAGAAAAACUAAAUGAAAUUUGGUUUAGGUAAAUUUUGGGUUCAGAUUAAAUUUAAAAUUUAGUUAAUUUUUAUUUAAGUUAAUUAAGUUUGAUUGUAAUUUUUGAAGGUUUGGUGAUUGGGAUUUAGAUUAUUUCGGGUUAUAAUUACUUUGAGUUUAAGACAUUUUAAGUUAUUUAUUCGGGUCAUGUCUAAUUAUUUAUUUGAAUUGUUUCAAGUUUGGAUUAAUUUGGGUCGAUUUCAUAUUUAGGUUAGACAAAUCAAUUUUCAAGAUAUGAACUAGAGUUGUCUAUAAGCCAAGUCACCUAGUCUGGCCCGAAGGCUCGUCGGCAAAUAGGAGGAUUUUAACAAAAAAAUAUAUGUCCAAAAAUGAGAUUGGACAAAAAAUAAGGCUCGUUUUAAAAAUGGGUCGAGCCUCGGGUAAGGUAUUUUUUUACCCUGGCCUGACCUAGAUUUUACAAUAAAAAAAUUGUUGUUUUGCUACCAUUUCACUAUUAUGUUGUUUCAAUUUGUUGAAAAAUAUUUAUUUUAAUAUUUUUUGUGUAUUAUAUUUUUAAUUUUUUUUUAUAUAAAAAAAUUAAUAGUGUCAGACCAUACCCGGGUUUUAGUAUUUUUAUCCAAGCCAGGCUUGGACAAAAAUUUAAGCUCAUUUUUUUGGGCCAAAUUGGGCCCAAAAAUUUAUCAGGACCAACCUAAUUCGACCAUGGACAAGUUUAUAAAAUAGCUAUUUAUAUAUAAAAAAAAAAUUGUCCAUGAGCUAUUUACUAUUUAGAGUAUUUAAAUAUGUCGAUUGAGAUUUAAUUCUUUUUAUUUUGAGAGGUGGAAUAAAAUAAUUCAAUUAAAGUGUAAUGAUGAUAUACCUAUAAUGCAUUAUAUGUCCCAUUCUUCUAUCUUUUUAGGGAGUCAAUGAUUAUUUAUAGCUAUUAUCUUUAUAUCAAAAAAACAAUUCGACUCAAUAAUUAACUACUUUUGCUAGAUUGAUUUUUGAUUAGAUUAAUAUGUUUUUAGUCAAUUUAAAUUUUAAAAAUUUUCAAAUUAUUUCAAUUUCGAUUAGUUUUAACUUUAGAUCAAUUCUUAUUCAAUUAUAUUUUAGACUCAGAAUUAAAUGGAUCGAAUUAUCAGAUUUAAUGAUUUGUAUGUAAAAUUUUAUUUAAAAUAUUUUAAAUACCACUCUAACACAAUUACAUAAUUCAUAGAUUAUAUAAUUUGAAAUUAUCAUUACACACCACCAUUGAUAAUUUCAGCUUGUAAGUCCUAAUAUUUUAUUCAAAUUUCAUAAAAACCCUUCCUUAUCUCCAUGACUAAUUUUGUUUGAUCAUCACAUAUUUGCAUGGGAAUAGUGGUCAUCAUGAACCGAAGACUCCGGUUUAUCAACACCGUCGACGCUUCGAACCCAGAAACUUGAACCGAAAGAAGCCGCCCGGUCCGGAACGUCAUCCAUCACCCAUUCAUGGCCUUUCGGGAAAUAUAUCCCACUCUUUGGAUGUGGAACCCAACUCGAUGAACUUUUUAUAUCGUCGUUACUCUUGCACUUCUUAUUGAUCUCCCGAUCUGCGCCUGCAAUUUUGCUCAAUGGUCGCUCAACGCGUUUUGCUUCCCUACACCCGAAUAAAGUUUCCAAAAGUCAAACAUAUUUAUUAAGUUCAUAAUGAUUUGCCUCUAAAUUUUGUACUUUUGUAUGGUUUUUUUUUGGUAAAAAUUUUAAUUUUUGGCUUUUCUAAAUACAAAACAAAUUUCAAAUUUCAUUUUUGACCAAACAAAAACAUCUCAAAAUCAUGGCUCAAACUUUAAAACGAUCCCUAAAUUUUAAAAUGUUCUAAUUGAAUCUUUAAAAAUAAAGUAUACCUAAAACACGUUUUAAAUAUGCUCUACAUCAAACAUAAACUAACAUUUAACACCCAGAUAGACAGCGAGAGUGACAAAAAAAACUUGGUUAAUACGAUACUAAUAUUUUUAGGACCCAAUUAAACCAUUUUAAAAUUUAAUGACUAAUUUAAAAUUCAUUCUAUAGAUUAAGAAAAUCUGUUGUAAUCAACCCAAAUAAUAACGACAACAUUACGUACCUUAGCAUCAAAAUCUUGGUUUUGGUAAAAGCAGCUCUUCCCAUGCAAUGCAGCUCUUUAAAACCCCUCAAAAAAGGACUCCAAUGCAAUUAUCUAGGACUUGAUCGUUUGUUUUAUAGAAUGCUUUCGAAAGUGCAGUUUUUGUACUUCAAAUUGUAUCCGAACGAAUGAAUAAAGGUUUGACGAAUAAGUUCGAUUGUGAAGGUCCUAAGAAAAUUAAAAUUUUAGAAUAUUAUAUUUCGGAAUUUCGUCUUUUUAUUUUAAGAAAUUUAAUCAUUUUAUAUUUUUCGGAUUUAAGUAUACAGGUCCAAUUAUUAUUAAAAGUGAUUCGACUAAAAAAUUAAAAAAUAUUUCGAAUUUCAAGUUAAUUGAAUUGAGUUAUUCGAUUUUUUCGAGUCAACUAGAAUAAGUAAUUCGAGUUCGAGUCGAGUUGAAUUUUACAAUUCGAAUAACAGAUUAAUGUGAAUACCCAUUUGAUCCCUGUCAAUUUUAAAAAUAGGUAAAUUUAUCUCUCAACAAAGUUUACAAAAAAAAAUCAAAAUAAUUUUCAAAAAAUUUUAAAUAUAAUUUUUAAAAUUCAGAAUAUUUAUAAAAUAUCAAAAUUGAUAUUUAAAAAAUUUAUAAAAAUUCUAAAUAUAAAAAAAAACUUAAUUUUUUUAAAAAUAAUAAUUUUUGGAAAAUUUAACUAUUUAAGUUUAUCAUACUAAAAUAUCUUCUUCUUUUUUUUCUUAUUAUGCUUUGAAAGAAUUUUCAAAUUUAUAUGUUCUAACAUUGAAUUAGUUAUAUUGUAACAAUAUUUUAAUUUGACAUUUUUUUUUAAUUUCACUUGAUUUGGAAAAUAUUCAAAUCGAGUUAGAAUGAUAAAAUGGGACUCGUCAACUCGAUUAACUCAAAAGUUUUUCACUUGAUUCGAUCGAAUGCUCACCCCAAACUAAUAUCAUAAAAAUUCUUUUGUUAAAUUUAGAUUCGUUACAAUAUUAAUUUUUUUAUUUUAUGACUAUCAAAUUUGUUUUUUUUUUCUUUUCAUUUCAAGGUGUCACAGUAAUGAAUUUAAUAGAAUAAUUUUAACAAUAUUAACAAUUAAUUUUUUUUUGACAUUUAAAAAAUAAAGAAACUAAAUUCUUAAAAAAAAAACCAAAUUUACGAAGAAUCAAAUUGGAAAAUAAAGAGAUAAAUAUAUAUUUUUUGGUGCUUAUGUUUAUCUUUGAUUUUAAUUUUGCUAUUUAUAUAUUUUUUUUUCAAAUUGGUACUUAUGUUGUUUUUAAAUUACACAAAAUGGUAUCAAAUUUAUUAUCUGACGUAUGGAAUGAUGAUGUCAUAAUAACAUUUGGGAAAUUAUAAAAAUUUAUAAAAAAUAUGUAUUAAAAAUUCAAAAUAUAAAAAAUUAUAAUGUUUGAUACCAAAUAAAAAUAACAUAAAAAUCAAUUUUUUUUAUAUAUUUUCAUAUUUUUAUAAAAAGAGUAUCAUUUUUUUAUGAAAAUAUAAAAUCAAUUAUUUUUAAUAAAAAUAACUUUUUUAUAAAUUUUAUUAAAAAUUUAUAUCAAAAUCAUGAAAAUAUUCAUCAAGUCACAAAAAAGAAUUACAAUUUCUUACCCGAAAUAUAUAUUUUAUAUUUCCAGAAUUUUUUAGAUUUUUUUUAUUUAAUUUUUGGAUAAUGACAUCAUCAUCAUCACAUAUUAAAUAAUUAUUGGACCACAAAAUAAAAGUUAGCAUCAUUUAACUUAGGUACCAUUCUGUGUAACAGUAGUCAAACGUGGGUACCAAUUUGAAAUAAAAAAAAGGACCAAAAUGAAUAUUAAGAUCAAAUACAUGUACUAAAGAAUAUAUUUAUUUUUUCAUUAAAAUAGUUUAAAUUAAAUUAUUAUUUUUUGAGAGAAGUCAAAAAUGAAAAUUUUCAUUUAAAAAGAAUUAAAAUAUUAAAUUUUAGGAGGGUCCAAGGAACCAAAGCCUCUAACUGCCGUUAGUUUGCCAUUGUCAUUAUCAAUUUACUCGCCCUGAGAGGAGUUUAGCGGCGAAGCUUGGGGAUAAUUUGUGGCCUUGACCCUCUUAAAUUUAAAUAAUUCAAUUUAAUCUCUUUCAGCCCAUUUAUUAAGGAGAGGUCAACUUCUUUAAGAAAAGUUUAUGAAGUAUGAUUCAUUAAAAGCUAGCGAACAUCCCAAUAAAUCGAUAUUAUUUCAAUUGAAUUUUUUAUCUCCCAAUUUUACGAAGAAUUAAUGGGUUCACAAAAUGAAUAUAUCUUAUUAGAUGUCUAAUAAGACAAAUCACAUACAUCGCAUCGCACUUGAUAUCAUAUACGACAUCGAAAAGCUAGUAUAUUACCACUUAAACUAAACACCUAUUUAUUAUGAAAUCUGUUGCUUCGAAUAAACGAGAAAUAACAAAUUUCUCCCGAAAAAAUCGGCCCCUAUCGUUUCCUCUUUUUCAAAAGUAAAUCUUAAUUCGCUCAGGUGAUUUGGAAUAUUGAGAUUUUUUUAGUGAAAAGAGUGGCAAGUUGGUGUGACACCUAAGGUCACUUUAACAUAUAGCUCUAAAUUCUAGAGACACUGUGAAUCGUUACUUCAGCAUAUGCCUCUUGUUUUUUUUCCUUCUUUCACCAGAAUAUAUUCAAUGCAAAGAACUUAUCUCUUACACAUUUGAUUGUUGGUUAAAUUCGAGUUUUAGUCCCUAUAUUAUACUUCCUUCCUGUUAUCGAUGUUAUACUUUAGUCUAAAUCCAUAAUAUCAACACAACUCCAAAUUCAUUAUAUCAUUUAAACAUUAAAAUUAUCUAUUUAACUUGUGAUUUAAAUAAAAAUUAAAUUAUGGUAUAACCACGAUGUGGAUAAAAAAUAAAAUUAUGUGUUAAUUAUAUUUGUAAAAGAAUGAAAUUUUAAUUAAAACGAUAAAGUUUAAAUUUACUUUAUAAUGCAAUGAUAUUUGAGUCAUUAUCCAAUUGAAUUAGUGCCUAAUAACUCGUAACACCAAUUUAAUUAAUUAUGCACAACAUUAAGUUUUAUUAUCUUUCUUUCUUUAAUAGAUUACAGUCAGUUACUUAAAAAAAUUACAGUUAAUUAUUAUUUUAUAAGGUAAACUAUCAAAAUAGUCAUUUUUGUUUCUCUCAUAUUACAUUUUGGUCACUUAUGUUUGAAAUGUUAAGUUUUAGUCACUUACAUUUAUCGUAUUAUAACAUUUUAGUCACCGAGCGUUUAUUGCCGUUAGCAAUAUAACAAUAAAGCUGAUGUGACACGUUAAAUCAUCAAUUCAAACGAAAAUUUUAAGUUAAAUUAUACAAUUGGUCCCUAUUUAUUUUGAGCAAUUUAUUUUUUUAUAUUCUUUGAAUUUUCUUUUUUCUUUUUUAUUUUCCGUUCUCUUCUGUUUCUCCCUCUAUUUUCUUCCAUUCCCUGUCUUUUUUAACGUAAAUUUUCUAUGUUUUUCAUUUCUUAAAAUUUAUCUAUUUUUUUUCUUUUAUGUACUUCUACGUUAAAAGAUAUGGAGAAGUGGUGAAAAUAGAGGGAGAAGUAGAAUAGAAUGAAAAAAAAAAAGAAAGCUAAAAGAACAUAAAAGUAAAAAUAUGGGGAUUAAUUGUAUAAUUUAAUUAUUUGAAAUGAUGAUUUAACAUGUCACAUCAGCUUACCGUUAACAACAAUUAACGGCUCAGUGACUAAAAUGUUACAACACAUUAACAUAAGUGACUGAAAUGUAACAAUUGAAACAUAAGUAACUGAAAUAUAAUAAUUGAAACAUAAGUGACUAUUUUAAUAAUUUAUCCUAUUUUAUAUUAUAUGAAAUAAUAUUAUAACUGCUAUUUAUUUUAAAAUAUUAAUUAAUAAAAUCACGUUUCUAACUUGGUAGUUAUAAACCAACGAAUUUAGGCAAUAAGAAACUAAUAUUUAGUAGAAAAGGGUAAUUAGCACCUCAAAGACAAAGCCAGUGAGUAUUUUUUUUUUUUAAUCGAAAGCUCCCUUCCAUAUAUAUUUUGAUUUUAUUUAAUUUCUUCGUAUUUAAAUAAUCAAUGGUUUGUCGAUUGAGUCUUAACUCUAUUGACAUAGACAUUAUUGUUAAUGUAGGAGGACGUGAGUUCGAAUGUACUAAAACGUAUUAUCCUCCUAUUUAUGAAUUGAAGAGAGACUAGAGCAGAUAUAAUGAGAACUUAUAAUGAAAUUGUUCAGAAAAUCAAACUCACUAUUGAAUAGGAGAUUAAAUAAUAUAAAAAAUAAAUAAAUAAUAAUAAUUAUUUCGAAAAUAUCUUACAAAAUAAAACAUAUCUUCAAAUCCCAACAAGAAGAAUAUAAAUAAUAUUUAGUUUGGUCAAUCACGAAAAGAACUUAGAUUUUAACAGAAUAUAUUAAUUUUUAAAAAUAAAAAAACCAAAUUUUUUUUAGAAUAUAAUUUUUUUUAAAAGGAAAGAAUAUUAAAAAGAAAACAAUUGUCAUAAUUGAACUACUCUUUAAAUAUGUCUGGUUAAAUUGAACUGUAUAUGACCAUGAGAUCUUUGGUCGAUUUUAAGAGGUCUCGAACAAUUUAGAAGGAGAAAUCAAAUCUUCUGUUACUUAUAAAGUUCACAUUAUUCGGUUUGCGCAAAUAAAGUUUAUAUGUUUAGUUGGACUUUGAAUGAUUACAAAAAAUUCAUUCAUAAAGUUUUAUCUCAUCAAGUGAUUUUUUAGAGAGAUGAUCAUGUAUUGUAAUACAUUUGAAGGAAUAAUUCGGAUUUGACCGUGCAUUAAAGUAAGUAUAGGGUUUUGUUUUUAUCUUAGUUAGAAUGAAAUAAAUAUAAAAUCAAAUAAUUAUAGUAUCAUAACAGUACAUCGUGCGAUUUGGAGACCCACAUAUAUAAUUGCGUGUAGUGAAUUUUGAAUUUGGGUACUUAAAGCUAAUAACUUAUUGAAAUAUAUGGGAUAAUUUACACCAAGAUGAUGUUUGAACAAAAAUUUAGAAGGAUGAGCAUUUGGUACACCGGUAGUGUACUCUUUUUAUUUAAUAAGUAGUCUUAAAAAUUGCCAUGUGUCUCUUUUUUUAAAUAUAUAUAUUAAUAUUUUAUUUUACCCUUAUAGGAUACUCGUCAACCUCUUGACGCUACUUGUGAAGUCUAAAAACUCUAUUGACAUUGUAUUUAGGGUGUAAUAAAAUAAUAAUUAAAUAAUUAAAAAUGACACUUAUAUCAUCUUAAACUCGCUUGUGGAGUUUUUUUUUUUUUUUACUAAUAAUUACCCAUAAUUUAAUAGAAUAAUAUUUAGUACAUUAUGAAAUUUUUAGACUGCACAAGCAAAAUUACGAGAUUGACAAAUGUCCUAUAUCUAAACUUUACAAAUAGGGUCAUGAGGUUAUAAUAGAAUUGAAUAGAGUUUUGAAUUAGGUGCAAUAGUACCUACAAAGCCAUAAAUGUUGCUUUGCAAAUUGGGGGUUUGGUUGGAAGGAGAUGCAUUAUACAUAUUGAGGAAACUUACUCAAAUGAGAAAGACGUAUCUCUUGAGACAAGCUAACCAACUUGUGCUCUACUAGUAUCCCGAUCUUUCUUUAACAGCUCAACUACUCAAGAUAUAUUUUUACUUUGAGUAAAGAAAUUUAUAAAUCAUAUGACCGCUAGAAAAAAAAAUGAGAAAAUCCGCCAACAACUCUCAUCACCUUUUAUCGCUAAGGUCUUAAAUAUAAGAUGUUGAGAUUUGUAAGAAGUUUUUUUUUUAAUAUUUUAUGUCUAGAUUAAUUUUGAUUUUAAUUUAUGAUUAAUUGUGUCUUAGGCCGUGUGAGCAUUCGAAAUAGGGAUAUACAGUCGUGUCCCAACCCGUAUGAGUAAAUUGACUUGGGUCACACGGCCUAAGACAUGGAUGUGUCUCACGGCCUGGUCACACAGUUCUGUGAUCCCUGCAGUGUUGAAAAUUUUAAGUUUCUGAUUUAGUCCCAAUUUGUUUCUAAUGUGUAUUUUGGACCUCGAGGGCUCGUAUAAGAGACAAUAUAUAUGAUUUUGAUCAGUUUUUGACAUGAAUGCUAUAUGAUAUAAAAUGUUUGCAUUUUCUGUCUAUUUGAUUUGUAAACUCCAGUAAUGCUCCGUAACUCUGUUCCGACGAUAGAUUCGGGUUAGGGGUAUUACAGUGUGGGCUCGAACCAAUUGAAUUGAAACACAGAACUAGAAAAAGUUUUCUCUCUUUUUGGGGUGAAAACGAAAAUUCUCUUUUCUUAAUAGAAAACGAUAGAAUUGUUAUUCCGGAAAAAUAUAGAUAAUAGUUAAGAAUAAACUCUGUAUUUUUUGAUAAAAAUAACGAUAUCUUAAAGUUGUCUAAAUAGCUCUAUCGGUGCCAUUUAUUUAUACGAGGAGAAAGUAAAACCUUUGAUGAGUUGUAAUGGUUUAUUUCAAAUAGAAAAAUAACUUCCUACUUAGAAUAGGAGACAUGUGUACAACACACCCUAGUAUUCCUAAAAGGUUGUCGCCCCCUUCAUGUCACAUGAGAGGUUUUAGGCCUCUCUUACAUCAGGUCCAAGUACGAGUACUUCUUAGGCCUUUUUAAUCUAGUACUCUGUAAUGUGAUCCAACUUGAUUCAGUUUUUCUAUUUUCUAAAAUAAACUUUAAUAUUUAUAUAUAAACAAAGUUCUCAUCCCUAUUUUAUCCCUACCAAAAUUUUGAUAAUUUUGCCUCUGGUAAAAUUUCGAGAAAAUAUGUUCAAUAUUUCACAACUCAACACGUUCACUAUAACCGAAUGGUUUAUUUUCACUUUCGGGCUUCAAAAUAGUCCAAAAAGAUAGACUCAUUCUUCCACUAUUUUUUAAGUAAUCCAUAUAGGAUUGCAAAUUUUUAUUUUUAUUUUUAUUUUUAUUUUCAUUGAAACCUACAUUCAUUUCCAAAUGAUUUCAUUUCUCCAUUUUGAAAAAUAACAUAAUCAUUCAUGAAUGUUUCCUAUUUCUCUUUUUCUAUUCAUUCCGUUCAUUUCUAUUCAAAGACACAAUUCAUAUCUGGAUUCAACAAGCUAACAAAGGGAUUGAUUGGAUAUAUGUAGUUGAAGAUCAAAAGAUUUAUAAUUAAGUUCCAGCUUUUUGUCUAUUAAUUAUAAACUCAUUUAGUCAAGAAGUCAUUCCACUAUAAUAUCGUAACUGAGCUCUCCUCAAUGACAUACCGUUAUGAAAGCAACUACACAGUACUUGUCCAAUAACCUUAUCAUAAAUGUGAUACCCUUAUAGGAUAUCAUAGAUCUUUUUAGGAUAAUAUUUGUUCUCCUAAUAUUAUAUUAUUUUAUAUAAUGGUAAUCAUUACAUCUUUCUUCAUGAAAAGUCAAUCACUAUCAAAUAGUGAUCAAGUCAUCUAUCAGAAAAAUGGACGACUUGUGACCACGUUUACUUUUCAUCAACCAUGUAAUGCCAAAGAGAGGAUAUCAUCUACCCAUGUAUGAAUGACGCUACAUACUAAAAAAAUUCGUACAUCCAACACACCAGCUUUUGGUUCCUUAUCUAUUUGAACUCAGGCUUUUACUUAUGUCAAAGUGUACAACUCACACAUACAUAAUCCACUAUCCACUCUGGAUUUAGGUAUGUCACACUAUGAACGUCACAAGUGAAUAAAUCCAUAAACGGAUUCAGGAUGUAUCCUGCUUUGGUUUUGUUCGAUGUACUGCUAGUCCAGUCAGUCACAUCUAUGUCUUUAUCUUUUGCGAGUCAUCCACUCUGAUGCUUAAGACAAGACAUCUCCAAAAUUGGACUUAAUAGACGACGUAUUAUCCUUUCAACCAGUUUGCUCAUUUUUCAUGUAAUACCUCGAAAAUUUCUAUAGUAAAAUAUUAUCCUUGAUAUAGAAAAAUAAGGAAAUAAGUGAUAAAAAGGGAAGUUUUGAGUUAUGACAACAUUGGCAAGUAAAUUAUGAUAUCUUGGUCCAGGAAAGGACUAAAAGUUUUGUUGCACAAGAGUAAAUACUCAAAAACUUGAGGGGUUAAAAGGUAAAUAUGAAAAAGUUUAAAGACCAAUAAUGCAAAUAUUUUAAGGGUGGAAUGAUAUAAAAACUAAGGAAAAUGGAUGAAUUAGGACCAAAUUAAAUAAGUAAAGAAUUAUGAGAGACUAAAUUAUAAUUUUAUCAAAUUAAAUGAUGACUCAAGGAUGAAAUUUUAAAACAUAAUCAAGGAUAAUAUGGUCAAUUAGAAGGAGAGAGAAAUCUAGAGACAAUGAUGAUGUUGGAGAUAUUUUAGAUAAAUUAAAUAAAUAAAUAUUAGUUUAUUAAUACUUUAAAUUGAUUUUUAAAUGAUAUUUGAUUAUUUAAUUAUUAUUUUAUUUAAUAUAUAUAUGUAAGGAAAGAAAGAAAAGGAUGAUCAUUUUUCCCAUGCACUAAUGUGCGAGAAAGAGAGAAAGAAAGGAACUUUUGUUUUCUUUACAAUUUGGUCCUUCUAUAAAAAAUUCAUCAUUUUCACCCAAAAAUCAAAAGAAUUUUCAUAGCUACCAAGAGAAAAAAAUGUUAAGGAGACUAUGGGAAGUUAGAAUAUCAAGUUGGAUUCAAGAAAUGGAAGCUGAAGGAGAGAGAAAAUCAAGAUGAAGAUUGAAAUCAAUAGAACAAGGUAAGAACAUCAUGAUUUCAAUAUAUUUUUAAGUUUGAUAUUAUUGAAAAAGCACGGAAUUGAUGUUAAUGUAGAGUUUUCUUAUAUAUGGACCUAUGUUCUUGACAUGUUAGUGAAGAGAAAAUAAGAGAAAGUAAUGAGAAAUAGUGUAGAGAAAGAAAA